CGGGAAUAUCUGCCAUUCCAAAACUUUGUAACAGCCACUUGCUUUUGUGACCGUUUAUGUGACGGCUAGACUGCUCUCACUUAUGUUACUAACCACGUGACGGUAGAGAGCCAAUUGGCAUACUAUUAUUUUGACGGUAGAGUUAUAAAUUUGUUUCUAAAUAGAAAACUAUUUGCUGGAGUCAAUAUUUUGAAGACCAAAGUCCCAAAUUCUCUCUCGUGCCUGGCCAGCAUCCUAAACCUUACUGGUAGCCGGAGAAUGGCGUAAAACGGCGGCGAUCUUCUUCUUCAUCUUAUUCUCUCUCUCAUCGUUUCAGGUAAGCUUGUGAUUAUGAGUUUCUUCGCUUUCUUAGCUUGUAAUUAUAGGUUUUGAUUUCUUUAAUUCGUUUUGUAGCCAUUAAUGUCAAUUUUUGUCCCACCGGCAAUGUUUUUUGUUCCUAGAAGUUGAAGCCCUUCUGUUCUUGUGCCAUUGGUGAGUUUGCUCACUCAAAUUAAUUUUGUUCUGCGGAGUUUACAAAGUUCAAAUGGACUCAUUUGGAUUACUAUUGAAUUUAGCUUUAAUUCCAACAUCCAUUCUAAUGUUUUGCCAUUAGAUUUACUUUAAUUUUAUCUUUAAAGCUUCUACAAUGAAUAGCGGAGCUUGGGUUUUAGUUUCAAUUUCUAAUUAACUUGUUUUAGUUUAUCUUAUAUGCUCGCCAAGUGCUUGUUAUAUUGUCUGAUAAGUUAUAUAACAUUGCUGAUUCUAUAUUAGUAAUGUCAUGUUCCAUUUUCGGAAAUUAUAACACAAAAGUUUUUACAAUGGCUUGCAUCUACAAACUGAAUUGACUUGUAGAGUAAGAGCUUGGAUUAGUGUUAUGUUCUUGAAUAAAUGAAAGUUCAUAUUGUGUAAGAGCAUGUAGAUGUAAAGCAUCACUACCAUUUCUACAAACUGCUUUCAUUCUGUUCAGAUGCUCCUCUUGAACUUUGAAAGGUGCCUCAUUCAAGUCCUAGCUGUAACUACUAGCUCUGAUUGCUUAAGUUCCUGUGCUAGCUGAAACAGAUUUAUUUAAUUAAUUAAUUGUGUAUGUACUAAUUAUAUUGAACGUAUAUGAAGAAAUUGUUUAACAUGAAUGACUUCUAAAUGACUUAAAAGCCUAAAGGAUAUGUGAAAUAAUGCUCAUUUCACUUGAACGAGCCUAUUAAUACUUGUAUGUCUGAUGGUUGUCGAAGCCAACAAAAAUAAAUUCAUACUCUAAAUAAAUUGUGUAUAGUGAUUGAGCAAGGUCAUGUCCACAGAGAUCGGUAAUUAUUUAAAUCCUUUUGAAACGUAAAACGUAAAAUGGGGGAAUUGUUGACAAUAAUAAAAAUCAAAUUAAAAUAACAAGAAUGCAAAUUAAAGUUGUAAUUCAAAUUAGAGAAAGCUCUGGUUGAAGGAAUUAAUUCAGCUUGAUUCGACUACUGAUCAUUGAUUCAAAUAUAGAUUAUUAUUACUUAUGAAUAGACCGGUUAUAGCUACUGAGACCCUCUAAUAGCCAAUCUCUCCUUAACUAGUCGAUAACCAAGGUACGACUGUUGGUUAUUUCCCUAAUCAAUAGACAACCCUAGAUACGAUCAUAGGAUUUAAUCAAUUGACAGCCUGAAAAACCAGAGAGACCCAAAUCCUAAUCAACACAUACGAUGAUUCAUUUAAAUUAGAUUGUUUAUUCUCACAACACAACUCUCUGCUAUGUUAUUUGUCACAAACAUUAAAUUCUUCAUACGAUGAAUCCUUUAAUUGACAAUAGAUUAAGUUGAUAAUUAAAUAGUGGCCAAUUACCUAAUUAACAAACAUAAUCAUGAAAAUAAUUCAGAGAAUAAACAAAUACCCAAAAAGUAAUAAAACAAUUAAAGCAUAAAAUAGAUCUCACAAUAGUGAUGAAUCAAAGCUUCAUUAUCCUUCAACCAGAAAAAUAUAUUUAGUUCUUCAUAGAGAGAAGAGAAAAGUUUAGAUCUAGGGUUUCUUUCUCUUCUCUUCAAAAGUCCCAUUUUUCACAAUAGAUUCCUCUCUUAAAUACUCUCUCUCUCUUCUCCUCUAGAAUUCUAUUUAAAAUAAAAUACUAAUAUAUGAAAUAUUAAAUUCGUAAUUACAAAAAUAACCAAAAAUACAAAACACGUUAAACUAAAAACUGUAGGUCCGUAGUUGCAGCACGCGCCCACGCGUUAUCAACAAAGUUCUUCUGACGCUCAUAAUUUCUCCAAGAAAGCAAUCAUCUUUAAACAUCAUCUUAUAGCUCAAUUUUAUCACAAAUCAAUAGAAUUGCACCUACAAAAGUAAAACACAAGUAAAUUAUCAUUAUUAAGUGCAAAACAUCAAUAUUAAGGGAAGUAAACAAUGCAAAACUAGUGCAUAAAUUGCACUCUAACAAAUUCCCCCACACAAAGAUGAUGCUUGUCCUCAAGCAUAUAACUCAAGACUAAUCCCAAAUCUCCACUCAAUUCUCAUCUCAACUCAUCCAAAAACAAUUUUAAGCAAGUAUACCUCAAGAAAUUAAGUCGAUCAACAUUCGAGAGACAAGGAUUUUAAAGCAUAGAAUCUCAUAAGAUAGAAUAAGAACAUUCAACCACCAAGAAGAUCCAUUCAAAAUUCAAGUGCAACAAGAUUUAAUAGCCCUCUCAUUGACCUCACUCCAUGCACUCAAAGUGUUUAGGGUGUCAUUUAUUCACUCAAAUCAAAUCAAAGAAUGUUAUUACCAUAAACUUGCUUAUAUAUCACAUCUCAAUCCACAAAACAUGAAUUAAAUGCAAAAAUCUAAGGGUCUUAAAAGGUUGUAACGGGGUUAAAUGGGUUAAAUGAAAAAGAAAAGUUUAUGAAAGAAAAAGAGAUCAAAAUGAGAAGAAUGAACUCAUUGAACGAACUUUAUGAUAUCGAAACGCUUAUUUCUACACAAGUCACCAAGAAUGUAAACAUUUUUUUUUCUUUUUCUUUUUUUUUUUCAAUUUUUUUUUUCGAUUUUUCUUUUUCUUUUUCUUUUUUUUUUUGAAUCAAACAAAAGAAACGAACCUUGCACAAUUUAAUUCAGGCAUAAUGCUUGUUGAUCUAAUUGAGAAACUUUAAUACAAGGUAGAAAAAGCAACAAAAUAUAUACAAAAUAUAUCCACACAAUGAGUCCAAAAAUCUCCUUAAAUUGAGGCUCAAAAAGAAGAAAAAUGGUUAAGUAGACGGAGAGAAUUAGAUGGGUAAUGGUUAAGGCUCAAACAAAGAUAGUAAAUCAAGGUCUUCGGGUAGAGAAAAAAAAAUGCGAGAAUAGAAAAAUGGUAAAUGGUUUGCCCUUAUCAUUUUAAUGCAAAAAAUCCGUAAUGUGGCUUCAACAUGCAUAACAAAGCAAGUUCUAGAAUAAACAAACUAAGAUUGAUAUUCACAUAACAAAAAUAAUAGAGCAAAGUGGUUGCUCAUAGGCUCAAAUCCUCACAAAGUUGGUAAAUUUGCCAUCAAAUCAUGUGCACUCUUCAAAUGAAUCAACCAUCAAUAGUGGUGUAGAAUGAGAAGAAGGUAUGAUUGAGAUAUGAAAGGAAAGGUAAAAAGGAUAAUAAGCGAGAAAGAUGUAUGUAGUAAAAAAAAUGAAUGAUAAAAUGUGAGUGAUGAAAGAGUAUGAUAGAAUAAAAAUAUAUGUAAAUAAUUUGAGGUAGAUGGGAAAAGAGUAGUGAGAGAGAAAGGAAAAGAAAAUUAAUAAUAUAUGAAGCAUACUAACUCCAAAAUCAUUUAAGGAUGAGUAGAGUGAAAAUAAUAAUUCCAAACAUCAAUAAUGUAAAAAAAUCCCUCCCCCACACCAAGAACUUACAUUGUCCUCAAUGUAAGAUAAUCAAAGCUCACAUAAAAAUUAAAGCGUAAGGAUAAAAGAUUAAAGACAAAAAAAAAAAAAAACUUCCCUGAAUUAUGAGCUUUGAUCCACAUAACGUCUAUGGGCUUGGCAGAAAUGGUGGGGUAAAUCCCACACUCUCGAAGUAUGCGGCCAAAUUCUGCUCCAUCUUGUUCAGCUUGUGCUCCAUUUUCUCUAACUGAAUGCUCAAAGGUGGUGCGGAUGUAGAAGGAAUAGUUGGCGGGGCAGCAGUGUCGUCGUCAAACUCGUCAUCAGAGGUAGCACCACUCCUAGCAUAAAGCUUCUUCGGAGGUUGAGUGGGUCCUGGUUCAGUAAAAUGAAAUCUCCCCUCCUUGAAUUCGACCAUACCUGUUCUUUCAAACACAGACAUAUCCAAAAAUUCCUUUUUGCAAGCAGGAUGCAAAUCAUUAUUGUCAGGAUCAAGCACACAUAGGUUUAUAGCUAACAGAGUAAUGUAUGGACCAAGAAAUAAAGUUCUAUACCGUUUAAGCACACUUUGAAAUUGAUCCGCUAACCAAAAACCUAAAUUAGGCCUCACAUCAUUUAACAUGCACCAGAUAAAAUAACAUUCAGUUUUAGAGAAAACUCCUGAGUGAUCUUUCUUACCGAAAAAAUUAUAUGCUAAGAAUCGAUGCACACAUUUCAAAACAGGAUCACGUAAGAAAGAACUCUUUGAUUUACUCGGGUCAUAGGCAUUGUGAUCAAUAGAUAAAUUACGCCAAAGACCAUAAGGCUCAAAAUUUUCGCUAAAGUCACAAGUUGUUCCUAAAUAUGCAUCACUAGAAGAAUAAUCAUCAUCAAUGAAUCCUAAAGCUAGGUUAAAAUCCGUGAUAGAGUGUAAAAAAUUUCGUCCCAUUAACCUAAACUUAAUGACAUCCGGGGUAUGCAAAGUAAAAUCAUUCGGCAUAUUAAAUUGAAAAGUAGCAUAAAACUUCCUAAUCAACUCAACAUAACCCAAACAAUCAACAUCAACAAACUUAUGUGACCCAAUCUUAUCUAUCAAAGAAUCAAAAUUAUCCUUAACAUUCAAUUUUUCAAGAGUCGGGUAAUGAAUAUACUUAGCUGGAAGUAUUUUGCGCGUGGAAAUAUCUUUGUACCUCUCUUUCUCUUGUUGAGUCGCGAAUGCGAGGCACUCUUUGAGAUUGGAUUCCGCAAGUGGCAAAACACUCAUGCCUUUUCCAUGUUUCGAUCUUUGUCUCACGGCUUGGCGUGAAUAUGAAAUUGUGUUCCAUGGAACCGUAGUGGGAGCGGCAAUCUUAGAUUUCUUUGCGACGAGUGUCUUUUUAGAUGACUUGGAAGUAGAUGCUUUCCUCUUCGGCAUUGUUACAAUAAUUGCACUCACGGAUUUCGAUUUACCUGGCUGGAAUACAGGGCGUAGGUUGGAUCUGCGUUGCGUUGCUGCUUGGCUGGAGCUUGCUGCGCAGGUUGGGGCUGGUUGCGCGCUGCUGCUGGUUGUGUUGCGCGCUGCUGCUGGUUGUGUUGCGUGAUGCUGCGCGCUGCGGGUGGAAUUGGUUGCGCGCUGCUGGGGCUGGAUUCGGGUUGCGCGCGGGGGCUGGGGAUGCUGGUGCGCGCUGCGGGUGGGACUAAUGCGCUGCGCUGAGGCUAAUUCGCGUUGCUGGGGCUGCGUUGUGGGAUGCUGGUGCUGUGUUGCGUUGCGCGCGGCUGCUGCUGCUGCAUGGCUGCGGCUGCUGCUGCUGCGGGUGAAAACGAUAAUCAACAGUGAAUUUUUAUUUUAUUUUUUUGAAUUAGGGAUUUAUGAACAGUGAUUUGUGAUUUUUGUUUUUUUUUUGUUUUUUUUAAAUAAAAAAAAUAUGUAUAUAUAAAAGAAAGAAAAGAAGGAAAAAAAAUAAUAUUUUUUUUUUUGUGAUGAAUCACUUUGAGACACUAAAAAUUUCAGAAGUACUUUUCUAAUAAGCACGUGGGCACGCCUUAAAACCAUUUUAUUUUAAAAAUCACAGAAGUACUUAUUAGUUAAGACGUGGGCACGCCUUAUCAAAAAUUUUCUUCUGACCAAAAUAAGCAAACACAUUAAAAAAAAAUGAAUCAAAAUUAAAAGAAGAUAUAACAAAAACCAAAAUAAAUAAAUCAUUUGGGUUGCCUCCCAAAAAGCGUCUUUGUUUUAUGUCUUUGGCUAGACACAUUUAUGCAUCAAUCUCCAUAAUUGGGACUCUCGAGAGCCACAUCCUCCACAAUAUUCACAAAAAAACCUUCAUAAAAAGGUUUUAAGCGAUGACCAUUAACCUUAAAAAUUUUGUCAGAGGUCGGACUUCGAAUCUCAACUGCACCAUGAGGGAAAACAUUAGUAACAAUAAAAGGUCCAACCCAGCAAGAACGUAAUUUACCCGGAAAAAGUUUAAGCUUAGAAUGAAAAAGAAGAACUUUUUGACCAACAGAGAACUCCUUUCUCAAAAUCAUUCUAUCAUGAAAUGUCUUCGUUUUUUCCUUGUAAAUAACUUCCUGCACUAUAGGGUUAAUAACAUCCACAGAAAAUACCGAAUGUUCCUCACUAGGAUAUUUCAUGGCAUCAUUCAUAUUGAAUUCUAUAACCUCUCCAUCAAACUCCAUAGUGAGAGUCCCUUUAUGUACAUCCAUUUUAGUCCUAGCAGUCUUAAGAAAAGGUCUUCCUAGCAAAAUUGGGACAAAAUUGGAGGAGUUAUCCUCUUCCAUAUCAAGUGCAUAAAAAUCAGCAGGAAAAACCAACUCAUUAACUUGUACUAAGACAUCUUCUAAUACCCCAUCAGGAUAUGCAUUAGACCUAUCAACUAGUUGAAUUAUCACGCCAGUUUCUUUUAAUGGACCAACAUUCAAAGAUGAAUAAAUGGAACGAGGCAUGACAUUAAUAGAAGCUCCUAGAUCUAACAAAGCCUUUUCAAUUCUAACACUACCAAUUUUACAAGGGAUAGUAAACAUACCUGGAUCCUUGCACUUAGAGGUAGUUUCUUUUGGAGAACUGCUGAAACAUUCUCCCCCAUGUGAACUUUUUCAUCUCCUCUUAAUUUUCUCUUAGAGGUGCACAGUUCCUUAAGGACUUUAGCAUAUCGAGGUAUUUGUUUUAUAGCAUCUAAUAAAGGAAUAUUUACCUCAACCUUGCGAAAUGUCUCAAGGAUGUCUUUCUCUUGUUCCUCCUUCUUGGAUAUUGCAAACCGGCUUGGAAAAGGAGGAGGUAUCACAAUAGGUAGGGGUUUCGCUCUGGUGGGUUGCGCAUCUUGAGAUUUAGGCAUCAAUUCAUUCUUCUCAAGCUCAUCUUCUACAUGCUUUGUCACUUUCUUACUAGGCUCUUGCAACUCCUUCCCACUUCUAAGGAUGACAGCACUAACGUUUUUCUUUGGAUUCACCUCAGAUUGUGAAGGCAAUCUCCCUAAUACUUGAGACUCCAGAAGGCUCACUGUAGUCGCCAAUUGACUCAUUUGGUUCUCCAAAUUCUGAAUGCUUGUUGUAGUUGCCUGCUGAAAUUGUUGAGUGUUAGUCGCAAGUGAUUUAACAAUUUCUUCAAGAGAUAUACCUGACUUAGAGUUUGAUUGUGGAGGUGCUGGUUGUCUUGGUGGAUACUAUUGUGGGAAUCCUGACGGCCUAACUCCAUAGCUGAAGUUGGGGUGAUCCUUCCAUCCCGGAUUGUAUGUUUAUGCAUAAGGAUCAUACCUCCUCUGAGGCAUGCCUGGAAAUCCUCCAACUGCAUUGGUUUGUUCAACGGGUUCUUCUUGAAGUGUAGGACACAUAUCAGUUGAAUGACCCAUAUUGUAACAAAUGCCACAAGUCUUCACCUGUUGCACAUUACCUACAACAAACUUUUCCACAAGAGAAGUAAGUUUAUCUAAACUUUGUCCAAUAGAAGAAAUAUUUACCUCAUUUACCUUCCUUGAAGUGAGAUCUUGCCUGCUGCCAAAUUGUUGUGCGUUGGCAGCCAUAUUUGAUAUCAGCUCCUUUGCUUGAGUAGGGGUCUUGUUCACCAACACGCCUCCACUAGCAGCAUCUAUCAUACUCCUAUCCAUCAAUGACAGUCCUUCGUAAAAAUAUUGAAUAAGAUGUUGAUCAGAAAUCUGAUGCUGAGGACAGCUGGCACACAAUUGUUUGAAUCGCUCCCAAUACUCAUACAAAGUCUCCCCAGGAAGUUGUCUGAUCCCACAAAUGUCUUUUCUGAUGUUAGCAGCUCUUGAAGCAGGAAAGUAAUUCUCGAGGAAUUGCUUGUUCAAACCAUUCCACGUUGUAAUUGAUCCAGGAGGCAAGUAGUACAACCAGUCUUUAGCUAGUCCAUCUAAAGAGAAAGGAAAAACACGCAGCUUAAUCUGCUCUUCAGUCACGCCUUGUGGUCUCAUACUUGAACACACAACAUGAAACUCCUUAAGAUGUUUAUGAGGAUCUGCACCUGCAAAACCAUGAAACUUGGGUAAUAAAUGAAUAAGACCAGACUUUAAUUCAAAAUUUACCUCCAAGUCUACAUAUUGAAUGCAGAGUGGUUGUUGACUCAAGUCUGGUUCAGCUAACUCUCUAAGAGUUCUUUCUACAGGUGCAGGUCUAUCUAUCAUUUGUUCUUCUGAAUCGCUAGAUGAUUCAACUAAAUCAGGCACUGUAUCUAUUUCAGAAAGCAAAGGCGACGAGGAUCGUUACUUAGCUCGCUUCGUCUGCUGUCUCAGCUGGCGAGCUGUCUUCUCAAUUUCAGGAUCAAACGAAAGUGUACCUGUACGAGAAGAACGAACCAUACACCAAGUAAAACGUAAAAAGGAUUAAAUAAAUGACACCAAUCCCCGACAACGGCGCCAAAAUUUGAUGGUUGUCGAAGCCAACAAAAAUAAAUUCCUACUCUAAAUAAAUUGUGUAUAGUGAUUGAGCAGGGUCGUGUCCACAGAGAUCGGUAUUUAAAUCCUUUUGAAACGUAAAACGUAAAAUGGAAGAAUUGUUGAUAAUAAUAAAAAUCAAAUUAAAAUAACAAGAAUGAAAAUUAAAGUUGUAAUUCAAAUUAGAGAAAGCUCUGGUUGAAGGAAUUAAGUCAGCUUGAUUCGACUACUGAUCAUUGAUUCAAAUAUAGAUUAUUAUUACUUAUGAAUAGACCGGUUAUAGCUACUGAGACCCUCUAAUAGCCAAUCUCACCUUAACUAGUCGAUAACCAAGGUACGACCGUUGGUUAUUUCCCUAAUCAAUAGACAACCCUAGAUACGAUCAUAGGAUUUAAUCAAUUGACAGCCUGAAAAACCAGAGAGACCCAAAUUCUAAUCAACACAUACGAUGAUUAAUUUAAAUUAGAUUGUUUAUUAUCACAACACAACUCUCUGCUAUGUUAUUUGUCACAAACAUUAAAUUUUUCAUACGAUGAAUCCUUUAAUUGACAAUAGAUUAAGUUGAUAAUUAAAUAGUGGCCAAUUACCUAAUUAACAAACAUAAUCAUGAAAAUAAUUCAGAGAAUAAACAAAUACCCAAAAAGCAAUAAAACAAUUAAAGCAUAAAAUAGAUCUCACAGAAGUGAUGAAUCAAAGCUUCAUUAUCCUUCAACCAGAAAAAUAGGUUUAGUUCUUCAUAGAGAGAAGAGAAAAGUUUAGAUCUAGGGUUUCUUUCUCUUCUCUCCAAAAGUCCCCUUUUUCACAAUAGAUUCCUCUCUUAAAUACUCUCUCUCUCUUCUCCUCUAGAAUUCUAUUUAAAAUAAAAUACUAAUAUCUGAAAUAUUAAAUUCGUAAUUACAAAAAUAACCAAAAAUACAAAACACGUUAAACUAAAAACUGUAGGUCCGUAGUUGACAGCACGCGCCCACGCCUUAUCAACAAAGUUCUUCUGACGCUCAUAAUUUCUCCAAGAGAACAAUCAUCUUUAAACAUCAUCUUAUAGCUCAAUUUUAUCACAAAUCAAUAGAAUUGCAUCUACAAAAGUAAAACACAAGUAAAUCAUCAUUAUUAAGUGCAAAACAUCGAUAUUAAGGGAAGUAAACAAUGCAAAACUAGUGCAUAAAUUGCACUCUAACAAUGUCUAUGAUUGUCAAUCUUGCUUUAAGUGUUUCAGUUAAGUGGUUUACCUAACAGGGAAAAAAAUUUAAUGGAAAACUUUAGAGUUCUAACAGAAAUAUAGUUGACUGCAGAUAUAGCUAUUUUGCAGUACAUAAAUUAUGUUGUCCUAUUCUCAAUGUCCUACGACCUAUUUUAUUUUAUAUGGUCAUUCAUUUUUGCGAUGGUUUUUUGUGCUUAUGAGUAUGGAAAUAGUGGGAUUUGGUGUGGCAAACAAAAAUAUACAUAUAAUCAAGUUUCUUAAUCAUGUAUAUUGGUUUUGGGUAUGAAUGUUUUCCUAUUCUAGUUCUAGGCAAAGUUUCUUCAUUUUGGUCUUCAGAUUUCCAGUAGGUUAAGUUAAGCAACUAUCAUAACUAGCUAGCUAGUUAUUGCCUGCCUUGUCGCCAUUACAUUGCAUGGCAUAAGGAAUAGUAACUAGGUGAUUAUUGGUGAUUCGUUGAGUUUAUUAUUGGCCAAACUAACAUAUUCGCCUUUACCCACAACUUAGUUUGAUUAGAUAUUAGAUAAUAAAGAGCCUUAAUCUAUGCAUUGCUUUAUUAUUUUUAUUUGGUUUUUCUUUCAACAAUAUUGUUGAUUUCUUAUAAAAAAUAUUCAUUGGUUUUUAAACACCUAAUCAUUGGCUAUGAUGAAGCUAAUUAAAACGAAGGCUUUGGAUCAAUUUCUUCUAACAACAUACAAAUGAGCAUAACCACCCCCUCCCCCCGAACCCAAAAAAAAAAAAAAAAAAAGGAAGACUUUGCAAGAUUCACAACCAGGUUACAUUUAAUUUAUUAAUUGUGUGUACGUACUAGUUAUUUGUUGAUAGAAUAGGAAGAAGUAUUUUAAUAUGAAUGACUUAAAACUUGUUGCUCAGUAAACAUAAUGUGCAUCAGUGCUAGAAAAUGUAUUUAUUGUUUGUAAUUUUUUAUGGUUUUGCUUAAGAAAUGAAAUGUGAAAAAAUGCUACAUUGUAUUAGGAAUAAAUUGAAGAGAUUUAUGAUUUUUAUGUGUUAUUCAAGUUUCAGAUUCAAUUUUAAACUUUUGAUACAUGCAUUGAAAGCUUAAACUCCUUUAAGAAAUUAUUAAUAGACACAUGUUUUAUUAGUGUCAUCUUUUGGAUGAUAGUGAGGAUCUUAUGUCUAUUAAUAAUUCUUGAAUUAUCUAGGCUUGGACAGUUUGGUAAUGCAUAGUUUUCUAUGGUAGCUAGUGCCUGAAAUUUUUUUCCCACGUAAAAAUGGGUUUUUCAGCAGCUGCUCCUCAUGUUCUCUGGGUGCAUACUAGACAAAUGGGUGUCAUGUGUUGUUUUGGCAUAACACAUAAACACUCAUAUAUCUAUGUCGCGUACUUGAAGAACUAUAGGGAGAUGCUUCCGAAGUUUCUAUAAACGUAGAGGAAAACUUUAGAUACUUAAGAUUGAAGAAACUUAUGCAUUCUUGAGUGGGAUAUAUAGGACCACUUACCUUUUGUAAAUAUGAAGGGAAUGUUGGAUAUAUUGAUGGGAGUGGAGGAGCUGAGUGGGAUGAAUGUAAUCGGUUAUGAUUUUGCUGAGUCGACUUGGUUUUGAGUCUUGUAAUUUUGUUUAUAAAUGGAGUACUAUCUCCAAUGUUGGUUUAUAAAUAUGUUUCAGCUGGCUGACCUAAUUUUUUGUUUCUAGGUAACAGGCUUUAUAUAUCUGUAAUUGAUAGCCAAGUGAAGUUCUCAGCAGUGGGUAACAGGCUUUACAGAAGAAUACUAUAAAUAAUUCUUGAAUUAUCUAUGCUUAUUGACCAUAGAUCAAAACAAUCUCUUCCUUUUCAACCCCAUCUCUGUCAUUGCUCUGCAUCCGUAUACAUAAAGUGAUAUGAGUCGCACUAGAGUUUUUGCUGUGGAGGAUGUUACUAAGUGUAUCAAUUUCUUGCAACCGAAAGCUACAAGUUUUGUUAGGUUCCCAAAAGAUACCGAUGAUGAUGGCAAUAGAAUUAACAGACUUUGACAAUAAUAUACUCUUAGAAUUUCAAGAUACUGAAAAAUGGGGGCAAGUUUGGAGUCUUGUUUGCACAGCUGCCUCAGAUGAUAGUGCCGGUGCAGCUUUAAUUCUUUUAUCAUUGCCAACUUCCCCACAUGUUUCUCUCAGCAUCCUUCCUUCGAAAAUUCCUCUUCGUUGAAUGAAAAAUAAACCAGUGCGAGUAUUUCGAGAUUGUGAAAUCUCUCCAGUACGUUCCAGAUUGGAAAACAAGCUGAGUCAUCUCCGGCAAUCUCUAGUUGUUUAAGACUGCCAAAAAGGUGUUGUGGGAAAUCGGCCUGCAAAAUCAUCUUCACAUCUUUUCCACUUAGUGAUAGUUCCUUCAAGUUGGGUACGAUCUGAUCAUCAUCAAUCAUAAUAACUAAUGAGGUCAAUUGAUGUUCUUUCAAAUGAUUUUGAGUAAUCCAAUCACGCAGUGACUUUAUAGUAUUUAUUUUAUAUUAAUUUUACCCCUAAAAAAAUUGAAUUAGUGAUAAAAUUCAUUAUAUGAUUUUUUUAUAUGUUAGUUUUAGAGGUAAUAAAGAAAUUAGGGAAAAAAACGAAAUUAUUUUAUUGCACGAUAGUAGACUCUUGCUUCUCAGUGCCUUUGCCACUGUAGUCAAGGCAAUGGGCAAACCUCCACACAACCUGGCGACGUCUGUUGCUGUAGAUUCCAACUCACGAUUUUCAACAUCAUCACCGGCCAUCAUCUUAAACAAUCUCCAGGCUUCUUCUUCAUUUAAAUUGUUAAUCAAGAAGUUGUCUUUAGAUCCCAUUUUUAAGAGGACGCCACGAUCUCUUGCUGUCAGCAGUAGUUUGCAGCCUUUAUGAUCUUCUCCAAAAGGAAUUCCAACUGUCUCCAAGUCAAGGUGCUUCCAGAUGUUAUCUAAAACCACAAGGAUCUUCUUCUCAUUUCUCAAUCGCUCAAAUAGUUUACAUGCUCUUCUAGAUUCAACUUCCUCGUGCAACUCCAGGCCCAACUUCUCGGCAAUUUCCUGUUGAAUCCUUUUUAUGUCUGGAAUUUGGGAAACCUCUGAAAAGACCACCAUAUCAAAGAGCUCGUCUUCCAUAGCUUGCCUGGCGACCUUCUUCACCAGUGUCGUCUUUCCAAUGCCGCCCAUGCCGUACACCCCAAUGAUGCUGACACUAACAUCGAUCAAUGCGUUUUUUACAACUGACUUCAUCAACAAAGCUUUUGUGAAUAUGCGUUACAUUACAACUGCGAUAUCCUUUCACUGUAUAUUCAUACAGUGGCAGGCCAUGUGACGUUGUGACCCAUGUGCUAGCUUUCACUAUUCAUAUUAUUUUUUUACACGGUGUUUAACAAAAUCUUCACGUAAAGAUUUCAGACGCGUGAUCCUAAUUCAGUAUGCAUUAUUUAUUUAUAAAAUGAAAAUAAAAAGAUAAAAGGAUGUGACUUAACUUGCUAUCAGUGCGGAUCCAGGACUUAAUAUUAUUUCGGGUUAAAUUUUAUAUUUUAAAAUUUAUAUUUUGAAGUGAACAUAAAAAUUUAUAAGUAGAAAGAAGUAUAUUAAAUGAGGGGAGAUAUGGAGAGCUUUAUCCCUAUGAAUAUGUAUUAUAAACGAAAAUAAUUGUAAGAAAAGAGUAGAAACCAAAAGGCAAUUCAAAUAUCAAAACAUUAUUUUUCAAUUAUGGAAUCCGAUAUUGCAACCUAUAAUAACAUGUAAUUAUAUAAGGAUUAAUAAAUCAAUUAAGAAUUUCAAACUAAAUUAGAUCAGUACAUGUGAUUAAAAUUAAUUAAAGAUUACAAGUAAAACUUUUUUGUUUGAAGUCAAGUACUAAAUUACCAAGCUUAAAUAAAUUUAAAAAAUUAAAAUUCAUUCAUUCUUUCGAAUUAUAAAAGUAUUAUUAAUAAAAAAUUUAGUAAUAAACUAAAUUCAAUUCAACAAAAAGUUAUUUGGAUAUCGUUGUUUCAUUGCCAGUGCACUAACUUUCUUUAUAGAAGUAGAUGUUGAUGAUUCUUCUAUUAAAGUUCCUCAAAAUACCUAAAUUUUAUUUUCUAACUUCUUCUCGUAGUUAAUGUAACUAAUAAAUAGAAUCUAAAAAAUCACAUAAAAUGUUUAUGAAAAUGUUGAUAAUUGUUACUAUUUAUUGUUUUCGUAAGUACUUUUAAUGCUAGUGACGAUGUUAUAUUACAUUGAUUUAUAUUUUUUUUCAAUUAGAAGUUUUUUAAAAUAAAUUAAAGCGAUAAUAAUACUUUAGCUCCUAAUGUUUUCAAUCUAUCCACUAAGUAUAUAAUUUAAUCAUUUUAUAAAAUAAGUCACUAAUUUCAAUUGGAAAUAAUACAAUUUAAUUAGGGAUAUAUUUGAAUAUAAAAUAAUAGCCCAAUUGUUAUACUAAAUUGAUGAAAAUAUAAGGGUAAUUGAGUUAGGGAAAUAUUUGAAUAUAAAGUAAAAACUCUAUUGUUAAACUAAAUUGAUGAAAACAUAAGGAUACUUGAGUUAGGGACAUAUAUGAAAACAAAAUAAAAACUCUAUUUUUAUAAAAAAAUUAUAAGAAAACAAGGUGUAUAAAUGAUUUUUUCUGUGCUAGACCAAGCUACAACCCAGUCUAGCCCAACUGUAGGUCCGCCACUACUUGCUAUUUACAUACAGACAUGUAGCCCUUAUUCUAAUAUCUAUAGGAAAAGACACUUAUACUCCAAGAUUUGAAGAAAUGGUCACGUAGAUCUCUAAGUUUUCAGUAACCAAAAUUUCUUUUUGACUAUAAUACUUUUUGUACAUAGUAAAUAAAAAAUGACUUUAAGAUUUUUUUUAAUAAAUAUAAAUAUAACUUAAAUAGUUUAAUCUGUCUAAUAGACUAAUAAUAUUAGAAUAUUUUUAAUAUAUAAAAUAUUUUUUAAAUAAAAACAUUAUAUUUAUUUUAAUAAUAUAUUUUUAUUUAUCAUAAAAAUAUCAAAUAAAUCAUUGGGGUUAAAUAGAAUUUAAAAUUAAUAAAACACAUCUCAUUAAUAAAAUAUAUCUCAUGUAGUAAUAAUAUUGAAAUUAUUUUAUAUAAUAUUUAAAAAAUUUAUAAAAUUUAUAAAAUUUAUAAAAUUUAUUUUAAUAUUAUGUUCUUAUUUAUUAUAAAAUUUAGUCUAAUAUAAUAUAAGAUUGUUAAGUAUAUAAAUAUUUUCCUAAAUUGAAGUUGUUUUAAAAUGUUAAUAUUUUAUGUUUAUUUCAAUAUUAUAUUUCUAUUUAUUAUAAAACAUAGGAGUCAAUUUUUUUGAGUUAAUAGAGUCAAAUGUAUUAUAGUCGAAAGAGGUAUUGGUAUUCCUUAUUAAAAAUUUAGGGGUCUACAUGACUAUUUGCCAAACCUUAGGUGUAACGUCCUUUUCUCCAAAAUUGAUUCUCUAUAGGUAUUUCAUGAAGGAAAAUGAUAUUUACAAUGAAUCAAACCCCGGACUAGUUAAAAUGCAUUAUUUCAGCUUAAAUAAUGGUAAAUAUUUGUUCAGUCUCUAUAUUUUGAAUUAAGUACCGUUUAGUCCCUCAAGACACCUUUGUCAGUAAGCACAAUAUAAUCCUACCCUUACUUUUUCUUUGAUUUUAUAAUAACAUGCUUGCAACAAUAUUCUUAGAUAUGUUAAUGUAAAGAAAAAUUUAAAUUUAUCAAAUCAGCCUUAAAAGUAAAAUACAAAUUAGUUGUUAUUAUUAUUAAUAAAAUAAUAAAAUAAUAAAAUAAUAAAAUAAUAAUAACAAUAAUUAACAUUAAUUAAAAUAAUAAAGUUAAUAUAUUAUAUAACAAAAAAAACAAUAUUUACAUUUAUCAAAUUUUCAUGUGUUUAAAAAAAAUUAUGUGAUAUUACAUUAUUAUCUUUACACAAUCAAUCAUUUUUAUGAUCAAGUUAGGCUAAUGGAUCAAGCUUUAAAAAAUUUAAAACAAUAGGAGUUAUAUAAAUAAAUAUUUAAAAAAUUUUGUUUUAUGAUAUUAUAAUAAACAGUAAAGAUUUAAGUCUUAAUAACCAAUUGAACACAUCUCAACCGUUGACAGUAGCGGCUCGACCUCUAGGCAACUUAAGCGGUUGUCUAGAGCCCCGCUUUACAUUAAGGUCCUAUGAAAUGAUUAUUUUGUAUAUAAAAGGGAAAAGUGAAUUUAAAAGUCAUUACUAUGCAUUUAAUUUGUUAUUAUUUUGUAAUUAUCUUUUUCUAAAUAAACUAUCAAAUUCCUAUAAAGUUUAUUUAAUGUAGUACUUAGUAGUUUUAAUUCCUACAAAACCGAUAAAUUAAUAGUUUCAAUCCUACAAAUUCUCUAUUUAAUUGUUAGAAUUAAUAUGUUAUAAUUAAAAAGUUUUAUAUUCAUUUUAAACCUCUAUAAAAGCCCCACAUUUUAUUACUUAUCUAUUAAAUUUUUCCUCUAAUAAUCAAGACACGAUAUGUUGUUAGUGUUUGAGAGAAAGAAAGACAGAGAUGGAAAAAAUCAUGCUUCCUCUACUUUCCACUCAAGAAGAAAAAAAAAAAUCUAAUAAUUUUCUCUAUACUCUAUGGCUAUUGGUCAUUACUUAAAUCCUCAAAUAAUUAAUAUAAAUAUAAAGUUAAUUCAUGAUUUCAUCUCAAAUUCCAGAUUUUAUCUUUUUAUUAUUCUCUUAAUUAGUUGUGUUAUUUACUUGUUCUUAUUUUUUUUCAAUAUAUUCUUUUAUUCAUCUACUUUUUUUUGUAUGCUUGUUUUAUCUAUUUUGAAAUAAAAUUAUAUCGAAAAACUUUAGAAAAUAGAAAAAUUAGUUUAAUCUAGAAAAGGAGUAGUAAAAAAGAUGUAAUUUGAGUUGAAGAACAAUAAGUGAAAAUAUUAUAAUUGAAUUAAAAUUUAAUAGAUAACCCUAAUUUUUUUAUAAGAACUAAUUAAAAUCAUUUGCCUAGGGCCCCAAAUAUGGUUGAGUCGGCCCUGACCGUUGAACACUUUAGCUAUUAGAUUCAUCAGUUGAAUUAGAAAAAUAUAAAAUUUGGGGUACCGUGCAACUGUUGCAAGGUAGGCGGACACGUUAUAUUUAAUAUAGAAUAAAUAAACUAAAUAUGUGUAAAGAAUAUAGGUUAUUAACCUUGCAAUACUUCAAAAAAUUAUAAAAUAAAAAAGGUGAAAUUUCAAAAUAAGGAACUGUAAAAAGUAUUAGGUUCUAAAAUUUUAUUAUUUUAAUAUUACAAAACUUUACUUUUUUAUAACAUUUUUGUUUUUAAUAUUAGUUGACAUGUUAGUUUAUUUGUAUAUAAAAUAUGUUAAUUUACCUAUAAAAUACUAAUAUUACUCUUGAAAUUUAAGGAAGCCAUUUUAAUUUUUUAAAAUUUUAAAUGUAGCCCAACAAAGUCAUAGAAAUAUAAAUAAAGAAUAGCAUAAAAGGAAGUUAGUUUAAUUUUUUGAAGAAUACUUCAAAAGCAUUUGAGUUUUAUGUUUCUUGAGAAUUAUACCUUUUUGUUUUUUAGAUAUUUGAGCUUGUGAAUCUUGUUGUAAUGAUAAUUUAUUAUUUAUUCUUGAUUAAAAAUAAUUGAAUAGUAAAUUUAUUGGUUUCUAAUUACUCUUUUAAAUGUAGGGCGAUUGCUUAAUUUUUAUUAUGUUACCCUAAAUUUUUUGAUGAUGGCUAAUCAACCACUGCAAAAGACUCUACCAUGAUUAUUUUUACUUUCUCUACAUCCCUCUAGACCAUCAUCACUCAAAGAAUUAAGAGUCCAUUUGGCAUACUGUAUUAUAUUAUACUGUAUUGCAUUAUUUAAUAUAGGUAUAUUGUAUUAUGUUAUAUUACAUUAGUACUAAAUUAUAAUAAUAUUUGUACAACAUUUGGUAAUUGGUAUUACAUUGUACUGCAUUAAUUUUAUAUUAAUAUUAUACUAACAUUAUUUAAAUUUAUUAUUAAUUAUAUUAAAUUAUUAUUUUUAUAUAAAUAUAAUAUGAUAUAAUAAAAUAAUAUGAUAGUAUAAUUUAAUUUUAUAUUUUUAUUUAUUAUUAUAAUAAAUAAAAAUAUAAUAAAAAUAUAUUUAAUGCUUAAUUAAGGUAAAAUAAUAAUAAUAACAAUAGUAUUACUUUAAACAAAAAAAUCUAUAAAGUUUAAAGAUGAUGAUGAUGAUGUUGACGACAUUAAUAAUAACAUAACAAUUAAAAUAAUAAAACAAAUAAAUUUUAAUGAUAUUAAUAUUAAUAAAAUAAUAAUAACAAUAAUUAAAAUAAUAAAAUUAAUAUAUUUUAAUAAUAGUAAUAAAAAUAAUAUUAAUGACAGUAAUAAAAUUAAUAAAUAAUAAUAAUGACUUAAUUAAAAAUAAUCAUAAUAAUUAAAAUAAUAAAUUUUGAUGAUAAUAAUAAUAAUAUUAUUAUUAUUCUUAUUAAUAUAAUAAUAAUGACAUUAAUAAAUAAUACUAAUAAUAACAGUCAAAUGUUUUUGAAAAACCAUUUUAUCCCAAAAAAAGGGACUUAUAUAUAAAAUUUUGUAACUUCUAAUGUCUAUUCAAUUUUUUCAUAAAAUAUAAGGUAGUGCAGUGUAAUUAAUAAAAAAGACAAAAUUCGGUGGUAUGCUGCAAUUGUUGCAACAUAGUUUCAUCUUUAUUUGUGAUCCUAAAGUUUGAGAUAUGUGAUCCUUAUUCUAUUGUGUCAAUUAUAGUCCAGUCCAAUGCCGCCAUCAUUAUCGAACAGUCGAUAUCCAACACUUGCACGAAGAUUCCAAGAAGUUGUGUGGCUGCCGACUUUUAAAUGCUAAGCCUUAUUGUGUCGAAGAUACACAAAACAGAGCAGUCCAGGUAAUUGCCAAAACUUAGAACUAAACAGUAGCUUAGUCAGAAAAUCAAACAAGUACCAAUAAAAUGACUGAUAAAAAUAUAAAGAAAUCAGUCAAAUCACGAAGAUUGAAGAGUAAAUCAAUGGUUUUAGAUUUUUAUUUUUUUUUUUAGAUAAUAGAUAUUAUUUUGAUGAAUUUUUUAAUAUUAGAAUAAUGUUAGGAAUUCCAAUAGUAGAAUUCUAGCUUAAGACCCAAUUAUUAUGUGUCAUUUUUUUAUUGGAUAAUGAAUUUCAUAACUAAUAAAAUUAAUAUUUCGAUCAUUUAAUAAAUGACUACCAUAUUAGUUGAGACUCAAUUAUUAGGAUCAUUAACAUUGCUCUUAGUAUUAAAUUGGACAUCUUAUCCAAAUCAGAUUAAAAAUCAAAUUAGAUUUUAAGCUUUUAUUCAACAUCUCCUUUUUUUUUUUUUUUUUUGGUCUAUUUGAAGUGAACAAAAUAAAAAUACAUUAGGGUCAACGACUGGGCAAUUGAUAGUCAAGUAUUUUGUUGUUUUUGCUACCUUGAAUUAAAUUUUCUCAAUUAGAUCAACAAGCAUUAAGCUUGAAUUAAAUUAUGCAAGGUUCAUUUCUUUUGUUUGAUGCAAAAAAAGAAAAAAAAGAAAAAAAAAUGUUUACAUUCUUGGCGACUUGAGUAGAAAUAAGCGUUUUGAUAUCAUAAGGUUCAUUCAAUGAGUUCAUUCUUCCCAUUUUGAUCUCUUUUUCUUUCAUAGACAUUUCUUUUUCAUUUAACCCCAUUACAACAUUUCUAAGACCCUUAGAUUUUUGCAUUUAAUUCAUGUUUUAUGGAUUGAGAUGUGAUAUAUGAGCAAGCUCAUGAUAAUAGCAUUCUUUGAUUUGAUUUGAGUGCAUAAAUGAUACCUUAAACACUUUGAGUACAUGGAGUGAAGUUAAUGAGAGGGCUAUUAAAUCUUGUUGCACUUGAAUUUUGAAUGGAUAUUUGAUAACUCUAGGAAAUGAGAGUUAUUACAUCAAUUCUAGACUUGAAUCAAGGUCACUUAGAGAACAAAUAAAGUGUUUUUAUUACAUUUUGGGUACCUUUUUGCAUAAACAUUCAUUUUAGUUGAGUCUAAUAAAUUUUGCUUGAAUCAUAGUAAUUUGUGCUAAAAACAGGUUUUAAAUUGUAGGUUUUAAAUUCGUGAGAGGAUGUUGAGGCAUUAGAAGAGCAAGAGGAGGAAGGAAGUUGGCCACAAAAGAAGUAAAGCACAAUCGGGAAUAAAACAGUAUUGUAGCAGCUGUUAGAGCAACCAGUGCUAUAACAAUCUUGGAGCAAUGCGGGAGAAAACUUAGGCGCGAGUCAGCCACAAAAUCGUGAUCUGCAUGUUUCCUAAUUCAAGCAUAUGCACGCUCAUAGGCUUUGGUUUAACCUAAUUUGCAAUAUAAAAAAGAGGCGUGCAGCACAUAGAAAGGCGGCAAGGAAUUAUCAUAAAAAAUAAUUACAAAGGCAAGAAGAAGGAGAUCAAGAUUAAAGAGUGCUAUUCGGAAACAAAAGGAGAGAGCCGUGCAGAAUUAUUUGCCUUUCAUCGUGCUCAACUUAUAUUUUCUCUUUUUCCUUGAAUUGUUGGGAUGUAUUCCGAGUUCAACAUAUUUGUGUUUAUUUUUCUCAUCCAGAUUAUGAACUAAAUUUACUUGUGGUUGAGUGAAAAAUAAUCCAAUGGGUUCUUGACUAUUCUUUUAUGUUGUUAUGGUAAUGUUGUAGCAUUAUACUCUAGUAGUUUUUAUGAAUACAACUGUUGUUUCGGUUCACCACCCAUUUAAUAGUUUCAGUUAAGAUAGAGCAGCAAAAGGGCAUGUCUUAGCGGACAUUAUUAGAGUAUUACUUGUUCUUAAGUCGAGUUUCCUGGAAUAUGUUAUCUUGAAUCCCAUAAGGGCAAUACUUGAAGUUAAGAUUUGUGACACUCUAGACAUAGGUGUUCACCUUGUAGGGUAGAGAGAUUAAAGGUUAUAAUGCCAUACCAUAAAUAUAUGAGCAACUGGUCAUUGUUAGUAGAUUUAAAAGUAUGAAAUUUCCAACAUGCGAUAGCUGCGGAUGCAGAUUUAUUCUACCCAUUGCUGCAGCACUUAUUGAAACAAUUGGUGCUAAUUUGGUAAACAACAGUCACCCCAUUAGGAGAGUUUGAUCAUUCAACUACUAUAUUUUCAAUUGAAUCUUAGACACAUUUAACUUAGUUUACUUCAUUACAGUAUUGUUUUAUUUUCAUCUCUCAUAAUUAUUAGUUACAGCAGAAUUAUUUGACAAUUGUUUGUUUCGAUCUUUAAUUGAUUUGCACUAUUGUGAUUGUUUUAGCAUUUUGAGUAACAGCAAUCCCUGUGGAGACGAUCUUGAAUACUCAUCACUUUAUUACUUGUUGUGUAUACUUGCACAUUGGCAUUGAUAAUAAUUGCUUAUAGAAAUUAACCAACAAGUUUUUGGCGCCGUUGCUGGGGAUUGAUUGUUUAUUUUUGAAGUGUGAAGUAAAUCUUGAUAGCGCCAAAUCUGAUUUGAUUUAUUCUAUUUAUUGGCAGAUCGGUACAUGCAUGUGUAAAGACAAAUCUGUGGUAUUCUAAUUCGAUCCUGAGAUUGAAAGGACUGUCAGGAGAUUACGAAGAGAACAAAGGAAUUCAGAAAUUGCUUCAAGCAUGAAUAAUUUACAAGAUGCAGGAAAUUUGAAUCCUCACGGGCCCUUACAACCAGUGAACAUUCAAGAAGAGCAGAAUGACCAUGCUAACGGGAGACAGCCAGGCAAUAACAAUAUUAUUUACAUGGCUGAUGACAGAGACAGAGCUAUAAGAGACUAUGUUGUGCUAACUCCUCAAGUUAUAUAUCCUGGCAUCAUCAGACCUGAAGUAGACGCUGCCAAUUUUGAGUUGAAGCCAGUGAUGUUUCAAAUGUUGCAAACUGUUGGGCAUUUUAUUGGAUUACCAAAUGAAGAUCCUCAUCUCCAUCUUAAAUUGUUCUUGGAAGUAAGUGAUGCUUUCAAGAUUGCUGAAGCAACACAAGAUGCCUUAAGGCUGCGGCUUUUCCCUUAUUCCUUAAGAGAUCGAGCAAGAGUAUGGUUAAAUUCGUUACCAUCUGAUUCCAUCACUACAUGGAAUGAAUUGGCUGAUAAAUUCUUAAUGAAAUAUUUCCCACCGACAAAAAAAUGCGAAGUUGAGGAAUGAGAUUACUUCCUUCCAUCAACUUGAAGAUGAAAGUUUGUACGAGGCUUGGGAAAGAUUCAAGGAAUUGCUCAGAAGGUGUCCUCAUCAUGGUAUCCCUUGUUGCAUUCAAUUGGAAACUUUUUACAAUGGGUUGAAUCCAAGUACAAGGUUAAUGGUGGAUGCUUCAGCAAAUGGAGCUCUGUUAUCCAAAUCUUACACUGAAGCCUAUGAAAUUCUGGAAAGAAUUGCCAACAAUAAUUACCAGUGGCCUUCAGCCAGGCAACCAGCAGCAAGAGGAUCAGCAGGGGUACAUAACAUUGAAACAAUUACAGCUUUAUCAGCUCAAGUAACCUCAUUGACUAACAUGGUAAAAGCCAUGACAGCUGCUCCAGCAACAGUAAAGCAAGUUACUGAACUUUCUUGUGUCUACUGUGGUGAAGAACAUGAUUUUGAUAAUUGUCUUGGAAAUCCAGCCUCAGUAAACUAUGUGGGUAACUUCAAUCGACAACCUCAGAACAACCCAUAUUCAAAUACUUACAACCCAAGCUGGAAACAACACCCAAAUUUCUCAUGGAGCAGUCAAAAUCGAAAUGCUCCAGCAUUGAAUGGACUAAGUACAAACACACAACCACUUAGUUUUCAUUAGCAAAGUCAAGGGCAAAAGCAUAUUAGUCAGGAUCCAAUCACUUCACUAGAAACACUGAUUAAGGAGUAUAUUGCAAAGAAUGAAGCAAUUGUGCAAAGUCAAGCUGUAUCUUUAAGAAACCUUGAGAACCAAAUGGGACAACUAGCUACAGCAAUGAGCAGCAGAACUCAAGGAAGCCAACCUAGCAACACAGAAGACCCUAGGAGAGAGGGCAAAAAAGAAGUUACAACACCAGUAGUUACAACUUGCACAAAAUCAAACAAACAAAGUUUAAUAUCCCCUGAAGUUACCCAGCAGUUUAGACAUCCACCACCUUUCCUACAAAGGUUCCAGAAGCAAAAAUAAGACAAGCAGUUCAGCAAAUUCCUGGAAGUGCUGAAAUAAUUGCACAUAAACAUACAUUUUGUGGAAGAUUUGGAGCAAACGCCAAAUUAUGUUAAAUUUCUAAAAGAUAUCUUGGCACGAAAAAGAAGGCUGGGAGAGUUUGAAACUGUUGCUUUAACACAAGAAAGCAGUCAUAUGCUCCAGAGCAAAAUUCCCACAAAAUUGAAAGAUCCAGGGAGUUUUACAAUACCUUGUUCUAUAGGAACUAGAUAUGCUGGCAGAGCACUUUGUGACUUGGGAGCUAGUAUUAAUCUGAUGCCAUUAUCUGUAUUUAAGCAACUGGGAGUAAGGGAGUGCAGACCAACAACAGUCACUCUGCAAUUAGCUGACAGAUCUCAUGCAUACCCUGAAGGAAAGAUAGAGGAUGUAUUGGUGAAGGUUGACAAAUUCAUCUUUCCAGUGGAUUUCAUUGUGUUGGACUUUGAAGCCGACAAAGAGGUACCCAUUAUACUUGGAAGACCUUUUCUAGCAACUGGAAAAACUCUGAUAGAUGUGCAGAAAGGAGAGCUCACCAUGAGAGUGAAUGAUCAGCAAGUCACAUUUAAUGUGCUAGAGGCAAUGAGAAACCCUAGAAGAUUGUAAUUUCCUAAGUGUAGUGGAUCUUGUUGUAGCAGACAGAAUGGACAGAUGCUGCAGUAAUAUACUUGACAAAGUCACCACCUUUGAGGAUGUUGAAGAGGAAGAUGUUGCAGCAAUCCAAACAGAUUGGAUGGACAAACAACAAUCUGAUAGGUACAACAGGUUUAUUGAACACCUGAAUCUUUUAGACAUGGAAGUAAAAACAACUUUACCAUCUAUUGAAUCACCUCAUAAUUUUGAGUUAAAAUUGUUACCUUCACAUUUAAAGUAUGCUUAUCUUGGUCAAAACAACACACUCCCUGUAAUCAUUUCUUCUACUUUGGAUGCAGGUCAAGAACAUAGUUUAGUAGAUUUGCUGGGAAAAUACAGAAGAGCAAUUGGAUGGACCAUGGCAGAUAUAAGGGGGAUAAGCCCAUCCAUCUGUAUGCAUAAAAUCCUAUUAGAGGAUUGUUCCAGCAAUUCGGUGGAACACCAGAGAAGGCUGAAUCCUAUUAUGAAAGAAGUGGUGAAGAAGGAAAUCAUCAAAUGGCUAGAUGCUGGAAUCAUAUACCCAAUAUCAGACAGUUCAUGGGUAAGCCCAGUUCAGUGUGUUCCAAAGAAAAGAGGGAUAAUAGUAAUGGCUAAUGAGAAUAAUGAACUUAUUCCUACAAGGACAGUGACUGGAUGAAGAGUGUGUAUGGAUUACAAGAAGCUUAACAAAGCCACAAGGAAAGACCAUUUCCCACUUCCAUUCAUAGAUCAGAUGUUGGACAGACUUACUGGAAAACAGUACUACUGUUUCUUAGAUGGGUAUUCAGGCUACAACCAGAUUGCUAUAGUUCCAGAGGAUCAAGAGAAGACUACAUUUACUUGUCCUUAUGGAACAUUUGCCUUCAGAAGAAUGCCAUUUGGGCUAUGCAAUGCUCCAGCAACUUUUCAGAUAUGCAUGAUGUCUAUAUUUUCUAAUAUGGUAGAGCAAACUUUGGAAGUUUUCAUGGAUGACUUCUCAGUUUUUGGAGAAACAUACAAUGAUUGUUUACACAACUUGGAAGAAGUUCUUAAAAGAUGUGAGAUGACCAACUUAGUACUCAAUUGGGAAAAGUGCCAUUUCAUGGUGCAAGAAGGAAUAGUGCUGGGUCACAAGAUAUCCAAGGAUGGUAUUGAGGUAAACAAAGCCAAGUUAGAGGUAAUAGAUAAACUGCCACCUCCAACUUCAGCAAAGGGUGUUAGGAGUUUUUUGGGUCAUGCUGGAUUCUACAGAAGAUUCAUUAAGAAUUUCUCCAAUGUAGCUAAACCUCUGUGUUCAUUGCUGGAGCAUAACAAACCAUUUCACUUUGAUACAGAGUGCCUUAAGGCAUUUGGAGAAUUAAAGAAAGCUCUUAUCAUUGCUCCAGUAGUUAUAUCUCCAUAGUGGACUUUACCAUUUGAAUUGAUGUGUGAUGCUAGUGAUCAUUCUGUGGGGGCAGUAUUAGGGCAAAGAAAGGAUAAGGUUUUUCAUUCCAUAUACUAUGCAAGCAAAACGUUCACUCCAACUCAGAUCAAUUACACAACUACAGAGAAAGAGUUGCUAGUAGUAGUUUUACUUUUGACAAAUUCAGAGCUUACCUGGUGGGUACCAAAGUAACUGUUUACACAAACCAUGCAGCCAUCAAAUAUUUAAUUUCAAAGAAGGAUGCCAAACCAAGAUUAAUCAGAUGGAUCUUAUUGCUUCAAGAAUUUGAUCUGGAAAUUAAAGAUAGAAAGGGGACUAAGAAUCAAGUGGCAGACCACUUGUCACGGUUGGAAUCAGACACUAGUACAUUGACAAGGAAGGACAUCACCGAAACUUUUUCUGAUGAACAGUUGUUGGUAAUACAGCAAGCACAGAUGCUGCAGCAGUCAGAAUCUCCAUGGUAUGCAGACUUUGCUAACUACUUAGUAAGUGGGUUGCUACCACCUGAGCUGAAGUUUUAAGAGAAAAAUAAAUUUCUUCAUGAUGUUAGAAGUUAUCAGUGGGAUGACUCACAUUUAUAUAAGCUAUGCUCAGAUCAAGUAAUAAGAAGAUGUGUUGCAGCAGAAGAAAUACCUCAUAUACUGGAGUCAUGUCAUGCUGCAGCAUAUGGAGGAUAUUUUGGUGGUCACAGAGCAACUGCCAAAGUUAUGCAAUCAGGUUAUUAUUGGCCCACUAUCUUUAAAGAUGCUUAUGAAUUUGUUAAAUGUUGUGAUAUGUGUCAAAGGACAGGGAACAUAACUAGCAGACAUGAGAUGCCUUUGACUAACAUAUUGGAAGUGGAAGUUUUUUAUGUUUGGGAAAUAGAUUUCAUGGGACCUUUUCCCCCAUCCUUUGGGAACUUAUAUAUCAUUGUUGCUGUAGAUUAUGUCUCCAAGUGGGUAGAAGCUGCAGCAUUACCUACCAAUGAUGCUAAAACAGUGGUGACUUUUCUUCAAAAAAAUGUUUUCUCUAGGUUUGGCACUCCUAGAGCAAUUAUUAGUGAUGAAGGCACACAUUUUUGCAACAAAAUCUUUGCUGCAGCAAUGAUGAAAUAUGGAGUCAGACACAAGAUAGCAACAGCAUAUCACCCACAAUCCAAUGGUCAGGCUGAAGUGUCCAACAGAGAAAUUAAAAAGAUCUUAGAAAAAGUGGUGAACCCAAAAAGGAAGGAUUGGUCUUUACAUUUGCAUGACUCUCUAUGGGCCUACAGAACAACAUACAAAACUCCACUCGACAUGUCUCCUUACCGAAUUGUUUAUGGCAAAGCAUGUCAUUUGCCACUAGAGCUAGAGUACAAAGCCCAUUGGGCAUUAAAGAAAUUAAAUUAGGAUAUGCAUGCUGCAGCAGGGCAAAGGAAACUUCAACUUUGUGAGCUUGAUGAAUUACGGCUGUUUUCAUAUGACAAUGCAAGAAUCUAUAAAGAGAGAACAAAACACUGGCACGACAAGCAUAUUCAACACAGGAAAUUCACCCCUGGUCAAUUAGUGUUACUCCACAAUACAAGACUAAGAUUAUUUCCAGGAAAGCUCAAGUCAAGAUGGUCUGGCCCGUUUAAGUUGUUAAAAUCUUACCUUCAUGGAGCUGUUGAUCUUCUAGAUGAACAAACAGGCCACGAGUUCAAGGUUAAUGGACACAGGGUUAAGCAUUACAUACAUCCAGCAGCAGAAUGUUCAAAGGAGGUGUUACUCCUUAAAGAACCUAGCUAUUGAACAAAGAAGGAAGGUCAUGCUGAAGGACCUUAAAUCAAGCGCUUCAUGGGAGGCAGCCCAUUGAGGAGAUAGCCACUUCAAACCAAGUUUGAUAGCCUUUGGUUUUGUAGACAGCUUUCUCUCUUUGCCAUCUUAUUUAAUUUCUGUUUUUCUAUGAUUAGCCCUUAUUUUCAUCCAUUUACAUUAUUGCAUUCUUUACUUUCACUUUAAUUUGCUAUAUCUAUUUCUUUUAAUAAAUUUUAGACUUAAUGUUAGUAAGUGUGAUAAUUGAAUUUCAUAUUGACAAGUGAGAGUGAAUGGUGGCAGAAUUCAGAGGUGAAUCACGUGUUAGAAGCUUUUAGUGGGGAGUCUGUAUCCGUUGUUAGAAUAAGCGAAUGGGUGCUGCAGCAGCUAAUUUUACCGUUACAGUAAAUUAAAAGCUGGAGCCUUUCACUUACCGUUGGAGAUAAAAUCGUGACAGAUGGAUGCAUGGACAUGGAUAGAAAAUUGAGGAAACCAAUCUAUGAAAUUAAAGCUUUAAUUUCAUUGGCCGAUAAUUUUGGGGAUAUGGACAUUUAAUUCAAAUAUUUUAUUCCCUCAAUUAUCUCUCGUUACCGUAUUUAUCUUCAAAUUAAAGUCCAUUAUAAAAAAGAAUCACUGUGCUUAGUGCUCUACGCCACUAUUCCCCAUCUCCUUCGCAAAGACAACUCUAAAAACUCUUAAACUCUUUUUCUCUUUUUAUUCUCAGGAACAGUAGCUUCAAUUUGUUAUUGCUACAGCAAUGCCGAGAUACAAGAAAAUAGUCAGUCGCCUCAAAGAUCUAUCACGAUUCCAGAGUUACCACGCUGAAGAAAAAUAUGAAGAAUUCAUAGAGCCACGUCGGAUUCUGGAAGAAAAAAGGGUUUCAAUUCCCAGACCAACUCACGGGAAUUGUGCAAACCAUUCAUAAUGCUAUAGCAAAGCGAGGAUGGUUAGAGUUUUGCAACCACCCUCGCGAUCCUGUGUUGCCUGUAGUCAAAGAAUUUUACGCCAAUUUGGUGUUCGUCUUGACGCUAGAGAUGAACAUGUAAAAAAUGAUGGUGCCUGUACGGCACGUACCAUUGAGAGAGUUGCUGGUGAGAGUGCUGGAACAACCACUGAACCAGCUGCUAUCACUGGAGCAAGACGAGCCAUUGGUUUAGAACAGACUAUCCAGGUACUCAGCAAUAGUAUAACUCAAUGUGUGGAAGCUCAACAGAGGGAAAAUGGUCGAUUUUGGAGCUAUCUACAGCACUUGGAUAACCAACUACACCAAUUUGAUCUGUACAUGAAACGCACUCACUGGAACUUCCCUGAUGCACUGCUCCAGCAGUUCCAUUUUGCCAUAAACACCACAGGUGCUCCAGCAGCAGCCAGUGAAGAAGCCACUCCUUCAGAUGAACCAGCAGAGGACGCUGCCACUGAGCUACAAGCAGCAGUCGACUCAGAAGAGGCUGAACCGUCUGAUCCACCUGAGGACGAAGGUGACAAGUCUGAGACUGAUAGCUCACCCUCAGAGGCAGAGGAUAACUCAGAGAAAGAAAGUGAGGAACCAACCAUCCCAAGCUAGCCCAAAACUAGAAAAAAGCAUAUUAUUCAAGAAGAAGAAGAGGAAGACCUUGAAGAGGAGCUGCCUAUUCCAGUCUUUAAGGGUAAGAGGAAGGAUAAGGGUAAAGCAAAAUUGGCAACCCCUCCAGCCUCUGAAGAUGAAAUGGAGCAAGUCGAUGCUGAGUUGGCUGCUGCAGCAGCCAGAGCUAUGCCUACACCUGAGCAAGCCUAGCAACUACUUGCGGUUAUUGCUGCCAUCACCGCUGAGGGCCAGGCAGCUGAUGCAUUGACUCAAAAGCCUCCACAGCAAACUCCUGACCAGCCUAUCCGCACCAGUCCAAGACAAUCCAGCAAAUGAAAAGGCAGUACGUCUACAGGUACUGCUACAACAACCCCAGCCACCACUCCUCUCACCAGCCCCGCAGCGAAAAAGACAAAGACAUUGCCAGCCACUUCCCCAAAAGCUUCACCAAAGGAUAAGCUGCGCAGUGCGUCCAAGAAGCGCUGAUAGCAUCCUGUCAUGUGCUGCAGUCCCCACCACAGGGGAGUACUCUUUCCUUACUAGUGCAUUAAAAAAAAAAAAUUCAAUUUGUGUGUCAUUGUUAUGUUUGCUUGUGAGGACACAGCAACUCUCAAGUUUGGGGCGGGUUGUGUUCCCAAAUGCAUAUGUUUAUGUUUGUAUGCAUGUGUUUAUGUUUGUGUGGUGUGGAGCUCUAUUAUCUAAUAUUUGUGUAUGGAUUUGAAAGCCUAAUGAAGAUAAAUUGAGUGCUAUUCAAUAUAUAUAUGCCAAGUAGAGAUAGUUAUAGAUGAAAGUGAAAUUCUGUCCCGACACUUAGACUUUGGUUGAAUUGUACGAGACUGUUAGAGCAAAGCCAAAAGAAGAGAAAAGAUCUCAAGUUUGGGGGGGGGGGGUAGAAGCAAGUUUGAAUAACUGUGAUAUCUAUGGAAUACAAUUUGUUCCAAUGACUCAAGUUGCUGAGUAACCAUAUCUGAGUAUGUACCCCAUAUGCAGACUUGUGUUCAAAGGUAGCGAGAGUUAUGAGCAAUGCUGCACCAUAUAUAUAUAUAUAUAUAUAUAAAGAAAUCAUCUGUCUAAGGCAUUGAGUAGUUAGGUCUGUUCAUGAGCCCCAUGUUCAGCCUUGAGUAAAAGAUACUUCUAGAUAAGAUUACCUUACAAUUACUGGUGCAGCAACUCUAAUCUGGGCAUGGUUUGAUUAAUUGGGUGUCAUCAUUACAAUUGAUUGACAUUCACAUGAAAGAUAAAUGUUACAGUGAGGAGGUUAAAUAUUUCCUAGUUUGUCAAUCCUAAAAUAAUCACAGUUGAGUAUGUGAAAGUUAUGAUUACCCCAUUUAUGAAUGAAGUGUUCUCACUGUUGAAAUUCAUGCAAUCCCUUGGUGAUGCUAUAGCAUAUCUAGAAUUCAACCGAAAGAGCACACACACACACUAUGGACAGAAAGAAGCUUAAGUCUAGGACUAAUUUACUAUGGUCAUCUUGCUUGAUUGAGAAUAUGAUCUAAAGGUGGAAGAAUCCUUGCAAAGUUGAUAAAAGAGUUAAAUUUGUGUAAAGUGUUAGUAUGUGUCAUUACUUGAGGACAAGUAAUAGUUUAAGUUUGGGGGUGUGAUAACUCUAGGAAAUGAGAGUUAUUACAUCAAUUCUAGACUUGAAUCAAGGUCACUUAGAGAACAAAUAAGGUGUUUUUAUUACAUUUUGGGUACCUUUUGCAUAAACAUUCAUUUUAGUUGAGUUUAAUAAGUUUUGCUUGAAUCAUAGUAAUUUGUGCUAAAAACAGGUUUUAAAUUGUAGGUUUUAAAUUCGUGAGAGGAUGUUGAGGCAUUAGAAGAGCAAGAGGAGGAAGGAAGUUGGCCACAAAAGAAGUAAAGCACAAUCAGGAAUAAAACAGUGUUGUAGCAGCUGUUAGAGCAACCAGUGCUGUAGCAAUCUGGGAGCAAUGCGGGAGAAAACUUAGGCGCGAGUCAGCCACAAAAUCGUGAUCUGCAUGUUUCCUAAUUCAAGCAUAUGCACGCUCAUGGGCUUUGGUUUAACCUAAUUUACAAUAUAAAAAGGAGGCGUGCACCACAUAGAAAGGCGGCAAGGAAUUAUCAUAAAAAAUAAUUACGAAGGCAAGAAGAAGAAGAUCAAGAUUAAAGAGUGUUAUUCGGAAACAAAAGGAGAGAGUCGUGCAGAAUUAAUAGUUUCAGUUAAGAUAGAGCAGCAAAAGGGCAUGUCUUAGCGGACAUUAUUAGAGUAUUACUUGUUCUUAAGUCGAGUUUCCUGGAUUAGGUUAUCUUGAAUCCCAUAAGGGCAAUACUUGAAGUUAAGAUUUGUGACACUUUAGACAUAGGUGUUCACCUUGUAGGGUAGAGAGAUUAAAGGUUAUAAUGCCAUACCAUAAAUAUAUGAGCAACUGGUCAUUGUUAGUAGAUUUAAAGGUAUGAGAUUUCCAACAUGCGAUAGCUGCGGAUGCAGAUUUAUUCUACCCAUUGCUGCAGCACUUAUUGAAACAACUGGUGCUAAUUUGGUAAACAACAGUCACCCCAUUAGGAGAGUUUGAUCAUUCAACUACUAUAUUCUCAAUUGAAUCUUAGACACAUUUAACUUAGUUUACUUCAUUACAGUAUUGUUUUAUUUUCAUCUCUCAUAAUUAUUAGUUACAGUAGAAUUAUUCGAUAAUUGUUUAUUUCGGUCUUUAAUUGAUUUGCACUAUUGUGAUUGCUUUAGCAUUUUGAGUAACAUCAAUCCCCGUGGAGACGAUCUUGAAUAGUCAUCACUUUAUUACUUGUUGUGUAUACUUGCACAUUGGCAUUGAUAAUAAUUGCUUACAGAAAUUAACCAACAAUAUUCUUGGUGGUUGAUUUUGUUUUUUUAUACUAGCUUAUGAGAUCCUAUGCUUUAAAAUUCUUGUCUCUCGAAUGUUGAUUGAUUUAAAUUCUUGAGGUAUGCUUGCUUAAGAUUAUUUUUGGAUGAGUUGAGAUGAGAAUUGAGUGGAGAUUUGGGAUUAGUCUUGAGUUAUAUGCUUGAGGACAAGCAUUAUCUUGGUGUGGGGGAAUUUGUUAGAGUACAAUUUAUGCACUAGUUUUGCAUUGUUUACCUCCUUUAAUAUCGAUGUUUUGCACUUAAUAAUAGUGAUUUACUUGUGUUUUAUUUUUGUAGGUGCAAUUCGAUUGAUUGGUGCUAAAAUUGAGCUACAAGAUGAUGUUAGAGGAUGAUUGUUUUCCUGGAGAAAUUAUGAGCUUCAGAAGAACUUUGUUGAUAAGGCGUGGGCGCGUGCUGUCAACUAAGGACCUGCAGUUUUUAUUUUAACGUGUUUUGUCUCUUUGUUUAUUUUUGUAAUUUUGAAUUUAAUAUUUAGAUAAUAUUUUAGAUAUUAGUAUUUUAUUUUUGGAAAAACUCUAUAAGAGAAAGGAGACGUGAAAAACAAAGGAGGAUGAGAUUUUUAAAAAAAGAAAAAGAAACCCUAGAUCUAAAUUUUUCUCUUCUCUCUAUGAAGAACUAACCUAUUAUUCUGGUUGAAGGUUAAUAAAGCUUUGAUUCGUCAUUACUGGGAGAUCUUUCUUAUGCUUUAAUUGUUUUAUUACUUUUUGGGUAUUUGUUUAUUCUCUAAAUUAUGGUUAUGAUUAUGUUUGUUAAUUAGAUAAUUGGCCACUAUUUAAUUAUCAACUUAAUCUAUUGUCAAUUAAAAGAUUCAUCGUAUGAAGAUUUUAAUGUUUGUGACAAAUAGCAUAGCAAUGCGUUGUGUUAUGAGAAUAAACAAUCUAAUUUAAAUGAACCAUCGUAUGCGUUUGUUGAUUAGGAUUUGGGUCUCUUUGGUUUUUCAGGUUGUCAAUUGAUUAAACCCUAUGAUCGUAUCUAGGGUUGUCUAUUGAUUAGGGAAAUAACCAAUGGUCGUACCUUGGUUAUCGACUAGUUAAUGAGAGAUUAACUAUUAGAGGGUCUCAGUAGCUAUAAUCGGUCUAUUCAUAAGUAGUAAUGAUUUAUAUUUGAAUCAAUGAUCAGUAGUCGAAUCAAGCUGAGUUAAUUCCUUCAACUAGAGCUUUUCUCAAUUUGAAUUACACAUUUAAUUUGCAUUCUUGUUAUUUUAAUUUGAUUUUUAUUAUUGUCAAAAAUCCCCCCAUUUUGUAUUUUACAUUUUAAAAGGAUUCAAAUAAUUACCGAUCUCUGUGGACACGACCCUGCUCAAUCACUAUACACAAUUUAUUUAGAGUAGGUAUUUAGUUUUGCUGGCUUCGACAACCAUUAAUAUUAAAAAAUAAAUUUAUAUUUAUCAAGUAUAAAAAAUAAAUAGACAAACAAAAAUAAUAUGUUACCUAAAAUAAUGACAAUAUCAAUAUUUAACACUCUAUAAUUUAGUGAUGUGUUGUCCAACUGCCAUACAUUGGUCCCAAACAGAGCCUUAAAUAUCAAAGUCCAAAGUUAUUGUGAUGAUGACUUAUAAUCGCCAAACUUGACAUACGGGUAAUCAUGCAUUAUAAGGUGCUGAUUUCUUACUAUCAGAACCUUAUUUGUCAUCUAUAAAUAAAUAAAUGAUGUGACUUCACGGUUGGCGGGGUCCUUUGUAUCUCCUUUUGCAUCUACUUUUGUUGUUAACAUUACUUUCAAAAGCAGCUCGUUAUGUAUGCAACAUUUCAAAAUUAAUCUAAAAAAAACAAAAAUUAGUUCAGCUGACUAAAUUUGAAAGCAUGGAUUUGCUGUCGAUUAAAAACCGUUUUGUAGGGAAAAUUUUUGGAUUGCAAUUCUCAUAUAAUACAUAGAAUUAUCAUAAUUUAUAAAUUUUAUUUUCGCUUUUCUGUGGUAGUAAGUCAGACUCCUUAGUGACAAUUUAAUUUGAAAAAAUAAAAUCAUAAAUAAGAAUUAUUCGAUAAGAAUUAAAAUAAUUGAUAAAUAUUUGAGACGUGCAAUUUUGGAAGAUUCGAUUUCUAAUAGGAGGGGAAUUUAAAUUUUACAGCCUUUGGUGAGGAAUCCAAAAUGCACAAUUUGAUGAAAAUUAAAUUUCAAUAGAAAUUGAAUUCCCAUAUAUUAGUGAAAACCAAACAACAGAAAAGUGAAAUGAAUUUGAAUUUAUUUCCUUCCUCUCUUCUCCCUCCAACUAAAUACCAUUGAAAUCCAAAGGUAUGGGAUUUGUUUCGGAGUUUAAGAUUGAAAUUAAUCCCAAUUGUUGAUUUGGGACUAGAUAAGAAUUUAUCUUGGAACUCCAAUUCUCCCAAUUAUUUUAGUUGACAAUAUGUUUAACAUUAUUUUUUUAACAUUAUUAAUUGCAUAUUAUUUAAUUGUCAGUAUAUAAUAUUCUUUAAUUUUCUAAUUUAUAGGAUUAGACGCAAAAUUGAUUAUGGCUUUUGAAAUUUAAGUGUUAUGUCAAUUGAAUAGAAAACAUGGAGUAAAAAUUUUGGAUGCUUUUGUUGAUUAUCAAUUUAUGCAUGAAUUUUUGUACAUUUACUUUGGUUUAUUAUUAUUACUUUUAAACAUUUUUAUUAGUUUGGUUUAGGGUCAGUUUGGUAAUCCUGUAGCUUUUACAAUAAUUACAAUUAGCUAUGCUGUAGAAAUUGAUCAAUCGUGAGGAGAAUCAGCUGAACAUUUAGUAAAAUUUAUUUUUAAAAGUACUUUUAGUUUUAAAAACAGUCGUAUGUAUUUCUUAAAUCUUAUUGUUAAACUGGUGCAAGAAUAUAAAUGAUGAAUUGGACAUAAUGCGAAAUAAAAUUUAUUUACAAACAUGUAUAUAAAAUAUUUUUAUUAUGUACAUAUAAUUAUUGAUAACUAAAAUAAAUAUUUUAUAUUAUUAAAUUUUAUUCUCUAUUUUGUUAUCUCAAUAUAAUUGGUAAUAAUAAUAAUCUUUUUAAAGUUAAUGAUUUUAUUUCUUAAUUAAUAAAGAUAAUUUUGGAUUUUUAUUAUAUAAUGAGAAUAUAUAUAUAGAAUUGGAUUAAGUAUAGAAGUGAUUCUCAAAACCAGAUUUUGAAAAACUAUUCAUUCCCUACUUUUCAAAAUCUAAUGUAUGAUGAAAUGAUUUUGCCAAAACUAAUUACUAAAAAAAUUUAUAAAACACUAAGAAUUAACUUUUACUUUUUAAAAUCACUUUUAAGCUUCCCAAAAACAAUCCUAAGGGCCUUUAUUUGGGUGGUGUUGGAACUUGUAACUUUUGGAUCUUUUAGCUUUUAUUGGUUUGACACAACUGUUACACUAAAAAUUAAAUGCAUCUUAAACCCCAAACUUCUUCUUCUUCUUUUUUGAUUGCACAAAAUUAAAAACAAUAGUGAACACAUUCUUUAAUAAACAAUAAGUAAUAACUAAAAUUGCGUUAAAGAAUUUAGUUGAUAUAUAAAUUGAUUUCAAUGUUGUAUAUGCUAAAUUUCUUAAAAGUUUUCUUUCACAAUCUGCUGCAUAGUUUUAUUAGUAUUUUGAAUAAAUAAAAAUAAUUGAUUUAUAUUUUUUUAAAGAAACUUAUUAGGUUCAUGUAAAGAUGUUUUUUUUUUUAUUUUAAAAAAGUGUACAAAGUAAAACUUAAUUUUUUAAAUUUAUUAGAUGAGUGCAUAUAAUAUUUGAGUGUUCAUAGUAAUUUUUAAAGCAUAGAUAGUCGGGCCCUAAUAUUUUUAAUAUACGGAAAUUUUGCUAAUAUGUUAAUGAGAAUUAAAAUGAUAAUUAAGGGAGGCAUUCGAGACAGUCAGGAUAGUUAGGAUGGGACAUCAUUGUGAGCGGUUUGAGAUUGGUCCUAAUUUUGAUCACAAAUAUAUAAACUGGAUGAGUGUAUCCAUACUUACAUUCCAUUUGAUAAUUAAGAUAAAUGUGGAAUUGUCAAAUCCCAAAUCAUCCCAGACCAUUGCCACCAAAGGUACUCUCACUAAUAAUAUCUAAAGAAUAAUCUACAUCUAUUUCAUACUUUUUUUUUAACGGAAAGAGCCCUCAUGUGGCUUGAAAUGUUAUCCUAAAUAAUAUUCAGAAUAUCAUACCAUGAUUGGGUUUGUGACAAACAAAUAUUACAUAGUUGGAAUACGUAGUUACUAGUGUCCCAAUUUAUGCAGUAUCUAUCAUUUAGUGCACAUAUAAAGUAUUAAUCAGCUUAAUUAAUUUAUAAAAUUUAAAUCUAAUUAAUAAGUGACACAUAAAUGCCAAGUGCAAUAUAUGCAAAUCAUGUUUGUCGAUCAUUACAAAACUGGCUCUUGAAAACAAGCAAGAAAGCUUAAUUAAGAACUUAAAACAAAAAGAAUUAGAUCGAGAACAGUCAAGCCUUAUUUUUUCAAGGAUGGAGCUUAUAAAUCUUCAAGUACCAACAUAUGCUUGCCCCAGUUGUUGUUAUUAAAAUUUUAAUAUAUAUAUACACACACACACACACACACACACACAUAAAAAAGUAUGACAUAGCAAAAAUUUGAUGGUACAUAUGUCGGAAUAUACUAGUUCAUGGAUGCAUUUGAUUAUUGUUUCCAUAAAUUUGAACCAAGAAGGAUGACUCGAUAAAAAUUGAUUUUACGGUAUGGUUGAUUUCAAUCUCAUGCACUCAUUUCUUAAGAUAAUCAAAUUUUCUCUGGCAUCUUUUGCAACUGUGGAAAUAUCAAUUAUGAUCAAUCAAAAGGAUUUCAAAAACUUUCAACGAGACAUAUUUAUAAUACAAUAUUGUGAAAAUUACACCAAAAAUUUUAUUUAUUAUAUAUUAUUAUCCAACCAGCACACAAAAAUGAAUUCGUACAAAUCUAAAAUACUUAGCAAUUUUCAAAUAGAAUUUACCAUGUACUACAAGAAAAUAGGGUAUAUGUGACCCCUAAUGUGAAAAUAGGGUAUAUGUGACCCCUAAUAGAAUUUGUUGAACCUAGACCAGACUUAAUAUCCAAUCAAGAAUCUCCAGGAUCUAGCUGAACUCUCUAAUCAAGAUCUAAAGAAUGGUUAAUCAAUUCACAGAAAAGAAUCACCCAGAAACAGUAUGCAAAGAACAACAAAUAUAAGUGGUUCGGCUGAAAGAGCCUACAUCCACUGAAGAACAGACCAACAGCUUUUCACCAUUAACAAAGAACAAGUUACAAGUUUAGAGAUGAAGUUACAAGCAAUACAUUCCCUGAUUUUCCAGUCCUUAAGACUACUUAUACUAGCUUAAAGGCCCUCACAAAGACCCCCUGUCAACCAGCUGUAAUCUAGGUUUGUUAGCUAACAAACCCAGAAUUCUCCCGCCUAUUGUAACUGACUUUAACAGCUUCCAGGACACGUGUUGAAUUCUUACAAACAGCAAGCCCCAAAACGACAUUCUUUCAUGCCGUUCAGAGUAAGUGGAAGCACGUGACAUUUACGUGCUUCACUUAAAGCUUUGGGUGACGACCAAAGUUUGUCAUACAGGCUUGUAUCCUUUACAGCUGACAUGUCGUAUACCAACAUGACCACAAACUGACAUGACGGUUGAUCUUCUGGAAAUCAGUUUAAAGCUCAUACUUUAACAUUCUCCACCUUGAGCUUGAAACUCUCAUGACCUGCUCAUCUUCUCUCCCACCAUCUGUAUUUUAAUUAUCACAGAUGCCAGCCAAAUCCAAACAGAAUUUGAAUUUAGCCCCUGAAAUAGCUUUAGUUAACAUAUCUGCAACAUUGUCAUCUGUAUGGAUUUUCUGAAGCAUCACAGUUGCUUUUGAGACUUCCAGCCUGAUGAAGUGCACCUUAAUGUCAAUGUGUUUGGUUCUUUUAUGGUGAGUUUGAUUCUUACUUAGACAUAUAGCACUUUGGCUAUCACAAUGUAUCACCACAGACCUCUGAUUGACUCCAAGCUCCUUCAACAUACCCUUCAGCCAUAUUGCCUCUUUUAUGGCUUCAGCAUCUUUUAUGGCUUCAGCAGCAGCUGUGUACUUUGCUUCAGUUGUGGACAAAGCCACAACACUUUGUAGUUGUGAUUUCCAGUUUAUUGUGCAGUUGUUGAAUGUGAACAGAUACCCAGUUAGAGACCUUCUUCUAUCCAAGUCUCCUGCAUAAUCAGCAUCCACAUAUCCUACAAUUAAACUGUCAUCUCUUCUCUGUCCCCCAUAUAUCAGACCAUGCCCAGAAGUUCCCCUUAGAUACCUGAGUAUCCACUUUACAGCCUUCCAAUGUUCUUUUUCAGGAUUGGACAUAUACCUACUAACCACACUGACUGCAUGUGCUAUGUCAGGUCUGGUGAGUACCAUAGCAUACAUUAAGCAGCCUACAGAACUUGCAUAAGGAAUUUUCAUCAUUUUAGACUUGUCAGCAUUAGCUUUUGGGCACUGCUGCUCUGAUAAUCUGAAGUGGGCUGGUAAUGGUGUUUGCACUGGUUUGGCAGUAGCCAUGUCAAACUUAUCAAGUACUCUCCUGAUGUAUUCCUCAUGUGUAAGAAACAAGGUGCCAGAUUUCCAAUCUCUGAUUAGUUGCAUUCCAAGUAUUUUCUUAGUUGGUCCCAGAUCCUUCAUCUCAAAUUCACCUUUGAGUUGUUGUUUCAGAACUUUAUUUGUUCCAUGCUCUUACUAGCAAUAAGCAUGUCAUCCACAUAUAGAAUCAGAUAAACCAUUUCCCCUGAUAUCUCUUUGUAAUAAACACAGCAAUCUAGAUUACAUAUUUGAAAACAAAUUUUCAUCAUAAAGCUGUCAAACCUGAGAUACCAUUGUCUUGGAGACUGCUUGAGGCCAUAAAGUGAUUUCUUCAGAAGGCAUACCCAAUCACCAUUUGACUAGUCUUCAAAGCCUUCAGGUUGAGACAUUAUUAUUUGUUCUUCAAGCUCACCAUGUAAAAAUGCAGUCUUAACAUCCAUCUGUUCAAGAUGCAUGCUAUGAACUGCAACCAGUGCUAGGAUCAUUCUUAUUGAGGUAUGCCUAACUACAGGUGAGUAGACUUCUGUAAAAUCUAUCCCUUCCUUCUGUGUGUAGCCUUUGGCAACCAGCCUAGCCUUAUAUCUCAUGGAUUCAAUCCCUGGUAUACCCUGCUCGACCUUGUAAACCCAUUUGCAGCCUACUACCCUUUUGUUUUCUGGUCUUUUUACAAGCUCCCAAGAGUUAUUCUUGUGUAAUGACUCCAUUUCAUCCUUCAUAGCUUUUAUCCACUUGUCUGCAUCUUUUCCUGAAACAGCUUCUCUGAAGGUUUUAGGUUCAUCAUUGUCUAGUUCAUGGGCUGCUGUUAGAGCAUAUGCUAUCAAAUCUGGAUAUGCAAACCUCUUAGGUGUUUUGAUAAUUCUCCUUUGUCUGUCUCUUGCCAGCUGAUAGUCUUGAAUAUCUGUAUAAGUUCCAGAAGUUUCACUAAUAUCUUUAGUUUCUUCUCUCUCCAUGUCUUCAGCUUCAUCAUGGUAGUUCAGAGUUGAUUUACCUUUCAACUCCAUCUUCAAAUGUUGUCCCUGUGAGUCCACUCCUCCUUCUGGUUUAGCAGGAUCUUUUUUAUGUCUUUUCAUCAGCAUCUCUGACUCAUUGAAGACUACAUCUCGGCUAACUAUACACUUUGGUGGCCUCAUUUCAGUGCACCAGAGCUUAUAACCUUUGACACCUUCAGGAUACCCUAGGAAUACACAUUUCAGUGCUCUUGGCUCCAGCUUCCCUUGCUUGACAUGUGCAUAAUCUGGACAACUAAAAAUCUUUAGAUUUGUAUAAUUUGUUGUUCUUCCUGACCACAUCUCUACUGGUGUCUUGAAGUUUAAGGCACUGGAUGGGCUUCUAUUCACUAGAUAAUAUGUUGUCAUCAAAGUUUCAGCCCACAAUGUUUGAGGAAGCUUUGAAUGAAUCAGUAAACAUAUGACCUUAUCCAUCAAAGUCUUGUUCAUUCUUUCUGCUAACCCAUUUUGCUGUGGGGUGUAAUUCACUGUUUUGUGUCUUGCUAUGCCAUUGAGUUUAUAGAAAUCAUCAAACUGUUGAUUGCAGAAUUCAAGCCCAUUAUCAGUCCUCAGUCUCUUAAUCUUCCUACUACUCUGAGUUUCUACCAAUGCUUUCCAUUGUUUAAACCUCUCAAAGACUUCAUCCUUGCCUUUCAAGACAUAAACCCAUACCAUUCUCGAGUAAUCAUCUAUAAAGAAGAGAAAGUAUUUUGCUCCACCUAGAGAGACAGUAUGUGAUGGCCCCUACAGAUCUGAAUGGAUGUAAUCUAGGGUCCCUUUUGUGUUAUGCACUGCAGUUUUGAAACUAGUUCUUGAGGAUUUGCCUAGGACACAUACCUCACAGAACUCCAGAGACCCCAACUUAUCAUCCCCUAAGACUCCCUGUUUUUCUAAAAUUUUUAGCCCCUUCUCACUCAUAUGUCAUAACCUUAGAUGCCAUAUGAGAGUUUUAUCCAAACCCAGACUUGCUGAAAUACUGACAUCUCCAGUUACAGUAGUGCCUUGAAGCACAUAUAAGCCAUUUUGCUUAUUCCCUUUCAUUAUCACUAUAGACCCUCUAACAACCUUCAUUACUCCAGAUUCAACUUUAAUGGAGCAUCCAACCUGAUCUAGAGUGCCUAGAGAUAUUAAAUUCCUCUUUAAAUCAGGAAUAUGCCUUACCUCUCUUAGCUCCCUAAUCAUCCCAUCAAACAUCUUAAAUCUAAUGGUUCCUAACCCAACAACCUUACACAUUGUGUUAUUCCCCAUUAGAACCUCACCUCCAUUAAAAGAAUUAUAAGUAGUAAAAAGAUUUUGAUCAGGGCACAUGUGAUAUGAACAUCCAGAAUCAUGAAUCCACUUACUGUUUGUCUGAGUUUCAGAAGCCAAAAGUACACCAGCUGAGUCAUAGCCCUCAUCCUCGGAUGCAACAGCAGCAUCACCAUUAUUUCCAUGCCCUUCCUUACCCUUGUUCUUUCUGUCUGGACAGUCCCUCUUGAAAUUCCCUUCUUUAUGGUAGUGAAAGCAUUUCAUAUUUUUAUUCUUGGACUUUGACUUGUCUCUUUUCUUCCCUUUGUUGUAUUCUCUCUUUUCAGGUCUUCAUCUUGCCAUCAGACCUUCCCCAGCUUUUGUUUCUGACCUCUUUGUGACUUCUUUAUAACUGAGAGAAUCCUUUACAUCAGCCAUCGAUAUUGACUGCCUUCCAUAGAGCAGUGUAUCUACAAAGUGUUCAUAGGAUGGUGGGAGAGAUGAUAAUAAGAUUAUUGCCUUGUCUUCAUCCUCUAGACUCACAUUUAUAUCUUCAAGAUCCAGGAUGAUCCUGUUAAAGCUAUCAAUGUGAGUUGCCAAAGAACUUCCUUCCUCCAUUUGCAAAGUAUAUGGCCUCUUUUUGGUACAAAGUCUUUUGGUUAGAGACUUCUUGGUAUAUAGGUCUUCAAGCUUUUUCCAGAGGCCUGCAGCAGUAGUUUGAUCUCCCACUUCCCUAAGAACUCCAUCUCCCAGACUCAAGAUUAGAGUGUUAUGAUCUUUAUCCAAAGCAUCUAGCAUUUCUUCAUCAAAAAGCUUGCUGGGUUUCUUUUCAGAUCUUGGAUCACCCAAAGUAUCCUCCAGCCCCUGAUGAACCAACAGAGCUCUCAUCUUGAGCCGCCAUAGAUGGAAGUCAUUUUCUCCAGUGAAUUUUUCUACCUCAAACUUAGAGGUUCUCAUUUCUUGGAUCAAAGAUCAGAGAUAAGGCUCUGAUACCAAUUUGUUGAACCUAGACCAGACUUAAUAUCCAAUCAAGAAUCUCCAGGAUCUAGUUGAACUCUCUAAUCAAGAUCUAAAGAAUGGUUAAUCAAUUCACAGAAAAAAAUCACCCAGAAAUAGUAUGCAAAGAACAACAAAUAUAAGUGGUUCGGCUGAAAGAGCCUACAUCCACUGAAGAACAGAGCAACAGCUUUUCACCAUUAACAAAGAACAAGUUACAAGUUUAGAGACGAAGUUACAAGCAAUACAUUCCCUGAUUUUCCAGUCCUUAAGACUACUUAUACUAGCUUAAAGGCCCUCACAAAGACCCCCUGUCAACCAGCUGUAAUCUAGGUUUGUUAGCUAACAAACCCAGAAUUCUCCUGCCUAUUGUAACUGACUUUAACAGCUUCCAGGACACGUGUUGAAUUCUUACAAACAGCAAGCCCCAAAACGACAUUCUUUCAUGCCGUUCAGAGUAAGUGGAAGCACGUGACAUUUACGUGCUUCACUUAAAGCUUUGGCUGACGACCAAAGUUUAUCAUACAGGCUUGUAUCCUUUACAGCUGACAUGUCGUAUACCAACAUGACCACAAACUAACAUGACGGUUGAUCUUCUGGAAAUCAGUUGAAAGCUCAUACUUUAACAUAUAUCACUAACUUCUAACUUUGUAACCCCGAGUUGCUUUUGUUACCCUUUAUGUGACUGCCACACUGCUGUCACAUAUGUUAUUAACCACGUGACGGUAAAGAGCCGUUCGGUAUACUACUAUUUUACAAUUUUAAAUUUAUUUCCAGUUAGAAAACUAUUCGCUGGACUCCGUGUUACAUAUGCCACCAUCGUAAACCUAACUGGUUGCCGGCGAACGGCGUAAAACACCGGCCAUCUUCUUCUUCAUCGUAUUCUCCCUUCAUCUUUUGUUCGUAUUAUAGCCGUUAUUGUCAAUUUUUGUCCCGCCAGCAAUAUUUUUUUAUUCCUACAAGUUGAAGCACCCGUGCUCUUGUUCCAUUGAUGAGUUUGCUCACUCAAAUUAAUUUUGUUCUGUAGAAUUUACAAAGUUCAAAUGGAUUCAUUUGAAUUUAGCUUUAAUUAUGUAUGUCAAUUAUGUAUUUAGAUUAUGAAUUUAGCCGUUAUUGUCAAUUAUGUAUUUAGAUUUACUUUAAUUUUAUGCUUAAAGCUUCUACAUUGCUGAUUCUAUAUUAAUAAUGUUAUGUUCUAUUUUCAGAAAUUAUAAUACAAAAGUUUUUACAAUGUUGUGCAUCUACAAACUGAAUUGACUUGUAGAAUAAGAGCUUGGAGUAGUGUUAUGUUCUUGAAUAAAUGAAUGUUCAUAUUGUGUAAGAGCAUGUAGAUGUAAAGCAUCAUUACCAUAUCUACAAAGUGCUUUCAUUCUGUUCAGAUGCUCUUCUUGAACUUUGAAAGGUGCCUCGUUCAAGUCCUAGCUAUAACUACUAGUUUUGAUUAAUUAAGUUCCUGUACUAGCUGAAACAGAUUUAUUUAAUUAAUUAAUUGUGUAUGUACUAAUUAUAUUGAAAGUAUAUGAAUUUUUUUUUUAAAACAUGAAUGACUUCUAAAUGACUUAAAAACCUAAAGGAUGUGUGAAAUAAUGCUCAUUUCACUUGAAUGAACCCAUUAAUACUUUUAUGUCUAUGAUUGUCAAUAUUGGCUUAAGCAUUUCAGCUAAGUGGUUUACCUAACAGAGAAAAAAAUUUAAUAGAAAACUUCAGAGUUCUAACAGAAAUAUAGUUCACUAUGCAGAUAUAGUUAUUUUACGGUAUACAAAUCAAGUUGUCCUAAUCUCAAUGUCCUAUGACCGAUUUUAUUUUAUAUAGUCAUUAAUUUUUGCCAUGGUUUUUUGUGUUUAUGAGUAUGAAAUAGUGGGAUUUGGUGUACCUUAGCAUCUUUUGAAAAUUCUCUUUAUGUGUGGCCAACAGAAUAUAAUCAAGUUUCUUAAUCGUGUAUAUUAGUUUUGGGUAUGAAUGUUCCUAUUCUAGUUCUAGGCAAAGCUUCUUCAUUUUGGUCUUCAGAUUUCCAGUAGGUUAAGUUAAUCAACUAUCACAACUGACUAGCUAGUUAUUGUCUGCCUUGGCGCCAUUACCCAGGCCAUUAUAUUGCAUAGCAUAAGGAAUAGUGAUUAGGUGAUUAUUAGUGAUUUGUUGAGCUUAUUAUUGACCAAACAAACAUAUUCGCCUUUGCCCACAACUUAGUUUGAUUAGUUAUUAGACCUUAAAGAGCCUUGAUCUAUUCAUUGGCUUUAUUAUUUUUAUUUGGUUUUUCUUUCAACAAUAUUGUUGAUUUCUUAUAAAAAUAUUCAUUGGUUUUUAAACACCUAAUCAUUGGCUAUAUGAAGCUAAUUAAAACUGAGGCUUUGGAUCAAUUUCUUCUAACAGGAUACAAAUGAGCAUAACCUAUCUCCUCUAAGUAAAUUUUUUUAAUAUCCUUGAUUUGUAAGGAUCUGGAGGCCUGAAAUCCUCUAGAUUUUUUUUAACACUGUCAAUGUUCUUUUUAUUCUGAAAAGGAAAUAAAAGGUUUUAUCUUUCAUACCCUAAUAGUAAGCUGACCUUGUCUUACCCGAGGAUUUGCAAGAUUCAUAGUGCCCCCCCCCCCCCCCCCCCAAAAAAAAAAAAAACACAAAUAGGAAGAUUUUGCAAGAUUCACCACCAGGUUUUUUUUCAUUUAUUAAUUGUGUGUACGUACUAGUUAUAUGUUGAAAGAAUAGGAAGAAGUAUUUCAACAUGAAUGAAUGACUUAAAACUUAUUGCUCAGUAAACAUAAUCUGCAUCAGUGCGAAAAUGUAUUUAUCGGUUGUAUUUUUUAUGGUUUUGCUUAAGAAAUGAUAUGUGAAAUAAUGCUACAUUGUAUCAGGAAUAAAUUGAAGAGAUUUAUGAUAUUUAUGUGUUAUUCAAAUUUCAGAUUCAAUUUUAAAUACGUGCAUUGAAAGCUUAGACUUGUUUAAGAAAUUAUUAAUAGACACAUGUUUUAUUAGUGUCAUCUUUGGAUGAUAGUGAGGUUCAUAUGUCUAUUAAUAAUUCUUGAAUUGUCCAGGCUUGGGCAGUUUGGGAAUGCAUAGUUCUCUCUGGUAGCUAGUAGCUGAAGUUUUUUUCGCAAGUAAAAAUGGGUUUUUCGGUAGCUGCUCCUCGUGUUCUCUGGGUACGUACUAGGUGAAUGGGUGUCAUGUGUUGUUUUGGCAUAACGCAUAAACACUUAUAUAGCUAUGUUGUGUGCUUCGAGAAUUAUAGGGAGAUGGUGCCGAAAUUUUUAUAAACGUAGAAGAAAACUUUAGGUACUUGAGAUUGAAGAAACUUAUGCAUUCUUGAGUGGGAUAUGUAGGAUUACUUACCUUUUGUAAAUAUGAAGGGAAUGUUGGAUAUAUUGAGGAUAGUGUAGGAGCUGAGUUGGAUGAAUGUAAUUGGUCAUGAUUUUGCUGAGCUGACCUUGGUUUUGAGCUUGUAAUUUUGUUUGUAAAUGGAGUGCUAUCUCCAAUGUUGGUUUAUAAAAAUGUUUCAGGACUUGCUGACCUAAUUUUUUUUUUCCUAGGUUACAGGCUUUAUAUAUCUGUAAUUGAUAGCCAAGUGAAGUUCUCAGCACUUGGCGAGGAUAUUUCUUUACAGAAGGUAUUGGAAACUGUUUUUUACAUUAAUUAUUGUUGUAUAUAUACUUUGAUUUUCACAUCUUUUUCUCUGAUUCUUGUGGCUUUGCUUGCUUUCAUAUAUGUAAAUUCUAAUGAAAUUAACCAUAAAAUUGUAAAAUGAUCUUUUUAUUAUAUUGCAAAACCGUGCACACACGAAAAUAUCUUGUUUAGUAGUAGAAAUGAAGAACUAAAAUGAUUUACUUAACUAAUUUUUGUAGCGCAUUAAAAGGAGAUAGUCAUGGACAAGUGUUGGGCUGGUUUGCCAAAUAGAUAUCCAAGUCAUAUACUGAUGGGGUUGAAAAUUUUAUAGAUUUUGCAUUUGAGAAUGUUGUUGAUGAUGAUAUGAUUGGAAUGAUACACUGCAUCACGUAAUCAAAUGUUCAAGUUACACGCAGCAUUGUUAUGGAUUAUCAGUCACUUUCUAGUAUUGCCAACUUGUCUGGGUGGAGUAUUAAAGGUAAAUAAGCAUGUCUUGUUUGCCAACAAAACACUAGAUCUAAUUGGUUGAUACAUAGUAGAAAAUUUUGUCACGUGGGUCACCGUCGAUUUUUACCAACAAAUCAUAGGUUUCGAAAAUAUAGUUUCUUUUGAUAAAACUAGAGAGUAGGGACAAGCACCUUCUUGGUUGUCUGGAACUGAAGUGAAAAAGCAGUUUAAUAUACUUACUGAGUAUAAGAUUGAAGACUUGAAAAGAGAAAUGAUAAGAUUACUUGGAAGAAGAACAGCAUUUUUUUAUGAACUACCGUAUUCAUCAUGAUCUUGUUGUCAUGCACUGCUUUGAUUUUUGUUAUGAACUCAGAUCAAAAGUUUAAUGUGAUCAAAAUUUCUUAAAAAUAGUGAAAACGACUCCUCCUAAUAAUAUGGAAGAUGGCUAUAAAAGAUAAAAGGAAAGGCUUAAAAAGAAAAGCCAUGCCUGUCAAAAAAAAAUAAAAAAAUUGGCAGCGUCAAAUUUAUAACAAAAAUCAAAACGGUUUUGAGAGUGUAUUAAAAUACAUUUAGAGUGGGAGCUGUGUUGUUUUUUGAAGGUAGAAUGAUUGUGAGAUAUUUGUCGACGAAGCCAAAACCAAAGAUGAAGCCCAUAGAGCUCAAAACUCCACCGGAGCAAAUUCAGACAAUUACGAGGGUUAUGUUUGACAUAGUCAAGGAACACAGUCCUCUCACCGUUGCCGAAACUUGGGAAUGCGUCAAGGUGUGUGUAUCUGUUAAAUUGAAUUUCAACCCGUUUGAUCUGUAAUUAUAAUUAAUCCAAUCGAUCUGACAGUGAUCACUAGUAGUUGUUUUACAUUUUCAGCAAGCUGGAGCGAGUGGAUUGACGGCCAAAAGCCACAUGAAGAUUGUGUUGAGAUGGAUGAGGGACAGACAAAAGCUCAGGUUCGUCUGCAAUCACGUGGGCCCUCAUAAGCAAAUCCUGUACACAACUUGGUUCACCAAACCCGACAACUUGAAGCAGCCAAAAUCAGGGAAUGAUGCUUCUAUGUCACAACCCUAGAAAUUUCAAACACGGUGAAGAUGAAGUAAAGCAUAAGUAGAACAAUGAAGAUGGUAGCCCCUCAGCAUGUAAACUUUUCAACAGUAACACAGCUCUUAUUCCAGAGGCUGCACAGAAGAGCGACCUGAGUCCCCUUCAAAACUUUCAAAUUUUUAUCAAGUAAAGCUUUCAAAUUUCUCAACAAAUUGAUUAUUUGUGUGGUUGCCACAUUUUGUGCAACUGCCAUUCGUGUUCAAGUUCAAAUUCCUUGCCUAGUAAGUUAGGGAAGAGAGAUGUGAAGCAAACAGGGAAACAGAACAAACCGGCCAAAUUUAAAAUGACAGAACAGUAAUGAUGGCAAUUAACAAACUAAUAGCAAUAUUACAUUUGAUUCUUUAGCCCAAUUGUUCCUUCUGUCAGCAUUCUUCAAAAGUUUUUGAAAAUUAGAUGUGAAGCAAACAAAAUAAAACAAAUUUAGACAACAGAAGCCCUGUAUUCAGCAUCAUAUAUAUACCUUGAAUACCUAAUAUAAUAAAUUUCACAUCUAAAAUACUAGAAAUUUCAAACAGUACCAGCAAUAGAAUAAUGACAACGACAACAAUAACAGAAAAUUACAAGAUUGCUGAUAAAAUUUCAUUUGCAUGGAUGUAUAACAAAAAUUCUGUGAUUUAAUGUGCGUUCAUGCAUGCAAGUCCUAACGUUCCUGUGAUCACAAAAUGAAACUGAAGAUAAAUCAGAACAACUACCAAACCUCUGACUGAAAGUUCAAAAGAAUUUAUAUUCAAAAUGUCAAAAUAUACUGGAAAUUUAUUGCACAUAUUACAAGAAGCAGUACACACCAAUGGUAAAUUGAUACAUCGUUUUUGAACUUAACAAAGUCAAAUGAAAGAAACACGACGGAGGGUUAAUGUAAAAGUGAAUACCCUCAGCAUGUAAACUUAACUUCAAAGGACGGAGCACAAGUUUCACAGAAAAGUAGCUCUUAUUCCUGAUGCUGCAAACACACAGGAGUGACCUCAAUCUUCUUCAUAACUUGGGAAUUCUGCAAUUAUAGAGCACGACAUUGAGCAUGAACUAGAAAAAAUAUUUAUUUUGUACAAUUUUCAUAUAACUUGACUAACCAAGAUUAAUUUCGUGGUAAUGUAUUGAGUCAUUAAUUCAUAUGUUUUUAAAUAUUUUUAAAAAACUAAUUUCUCAAUUUGAAAUGGCCCAUAAAAAUUAUUCUCAUAUAAAAACUAAAUUUGACAGACCCCUCGAUUAAAGCAGGGGAAAAGGCUUUCCACAUGAAAAUGUUGUUUGUCACUUUGAAUGAUAUUUUGAAGGGAUUUCAUUCUAAAAAUAAAAUACCUGGGACCUCAUUCUUCAAAAUUGACAACUCGCCAGGUAUUAAAAGCGUAUGAGAUCAGUACUGCGACGAGUAAGAAGACGACCCCUCCAACAGCUGAAAACAAAAUUCGCAUUCAUCAAUUUAAAUUAAAAUUCAUAUUAUGAAACUAAAACUAAUGAUUAGUGAAUUUUCGAGGAAUUUAAUAAGAUUCUCAGAUAUAAACGUGAUAACAAAUUCACUCAUCAAUAACAAAUAAUCUAACAGUUAUCCGUACCUUUUCUUGAUGUAAUUGUUGUAUGGUUGUGUUAAGGUCAUUAUUAGACCAACGCAGGUUGUCCUCUCUCUGCCCGUACCGGACGUUUACUCUGACAUGGGUACUUAAUUCUCCUGAAGUGAAAAUCUUCAUCUUGGGACAACCAAUCACAGCAAGAUAUUCCAAAGAUGGGAAUUUGAAGGCGUAAUUGCCAGAGGAGAAGCUUGUGAGACUAUCUAAAUCAAACAGGGACAACGUAGUCAGUUUGCUGAAAACAAUCUCUUCUUUUAAAUUUGCUGUUUCAUCUUCGUCACUUAUUACGACUUCUGUGAUUGCUCUGCAUCCAAAUACACCCAAUGAUACGAGUCGCUCUAGACUUUUUGCUGUGGAGGAUGUUAGUAAGUUCAUCAAUUUCUUGCAAGCACAAGCUUGCAGGCGUGUGAGAUUCUGAAAAGAUACCGAUGAUGAUGGCAAUAGACUUAACAGAUUUUGACAGUAAUAUGCUCUUAGAAUUUCAAGAUGUUGAAAAAUCAAGUCCGGCUGUUUGGAAUCGUGUUUCCACAGUUGCUGCAGAUGAUUAAGUCUGGUCAGGUGUAACAUUUUUAUCAGUGCCAGCUUCCUCGCAUGUGUCUCCAAAUAUCCUUCAUUUGAAAAUACCACUUCGUACGAACAAUCCGACAGGUGGAGAAAUUCCAGAUUGUGAAACCUCUCAAGUAAACCAAGUGGAAAGCAAGCUAAGUCAUCAUCCCCAACCUGUAGUCGUUUGAGACUGCCAAAGAGGUGUUGUGGGAAAUCGCCUUGCAAAAUCAUCGUGAUGUCUUUUCCACUUAAUGCCAGUUCCUCCAAGUUGGGUAAGAUCUGAUCAUCAUCAAGCACAAAUUAUUAACUUAGCACAUUGAUCCCUAAUUCGAGACUGGCAAAAUUCAUUGUUAUAUACACACACAUAUAUAUAUAGUAUUUAUUAAAAUUUCUGGUCUGUGAGUAAGAAACAACAAAGACAACUGACAAAAAAUCUAAAAGUUGGUUUCAUACCUUCUUGAACGAGAAUAGGGGCUGUUGUGCCGGAACACCAAAUUGAUCAUUCUCGUUAUUCUGGGAUAACGUCAUUUUAUCACAAUUACACGCCUCCAAUAUUUUUAGUGCUGGCCAUUCCGAUGUAUGCAUUCCAGGGUAUAAACAUCUAAGUUCUGGUAGACCUUCGAGUUUCAGAGUGGUCACCCGUGGAAAGACAAAAUAAGCGGUCACUUGAUCUGUUCUGUUUUCAGAAAUGAUUUCUUGUAAACUCUUACAUAACCGUAUCUCCAGGUGUUGGAGUUGCUCAAGGCUUUGGAUCGUAGAAGCUGAAAAUAUGUAUUUUAAUUUGUCACAGCCCCACACUAUCAAUCGUGUCAAACUUCGAAGGCAAGGAACCAUGGCCGGAAGUUGAUUGUAAUGCCAAAUCUCGUCGACAUUAAUAGCAUUCAGCUCCAAAGCCUCCAAAUUUGGCAACACUACCUAAAGAUAAUUUUGUCGUUAGAUCCAAUAUCCAUAUAAGAAGUGCUUAUUGAGAGCUUAAUUAGUGAGUGUAUGAGAUUUUUUUUUUUUGCAUUUUCUUUUUCUAAAUGAUUUAAUUUUUUUUCACUUAUGGCAUCAAAUGCAAGUUCAUGAUAGAAUAAAAAAAAAAAUGCAAUAUCCAUAUGAAAAGGACUUGUGUGGUCCAGUUUGGGAUUAUGGAUGCUGAUUAAAUAAGUUGCUCCUGCUGUACGGAUGCAAUAAGUAGUUGAUUAAAAAAGCAGUUAGCUGUUUGGUAAACUGUGUUGUUGCAGUUGCUGUGAGUUUGAAAAGCAAUGUACAUGCGUUUGGUAAAUUUUAUUACAAACGUGUUAUUUUAUCAUAUAAUGACCAAAAUAUAUAUAAGUUUAAAUUUCCGUUUAUUUUUUUUAAGCAUGUUUAAUAAUCUUUAGAUAUGUCAUUUUCUUUUUAAAAUACGUAAAAUUAUAUUAAGUGAAAAAACUUAAUAAUUUGUUACAUAAAAUAUGAUAAAAAUUUAUACUAGUAUAUGAUCCAAAUAAAAUAAAAAAAGUAAUAUGCAUUACUUUCACAUUAAACUUGUUGCAAUAAACACCAUGACUAUAGAAAAUAUAAAUAGAUUGAAUGUUAAAAGCUAUGGUUAUAAAAUUGAUUUUAAAAGUUAUGAUUAAUUUUCAUGUGAAAUUGUUUAUAGUUCAAAAAAAAUUUACAUAAUUACAUGCAAGUCUUUUUUAAUCUUAUUAUAGAAAAUACAAGUAUAAUAUAAAAAAUAUGAACUUACUAAAUCAAAACUUUGAUAUUAGAGAGAAUAUAUAGUAGUUGUGGUGGUAAUAUGAUAUCUAAUAACUUAUAUAUUAGAGUGUAUGGAAAUAUAUGACAUAAUUAUUUUUGUUAAAAUAUUAAUUAAGGUUAUAAUAGAAACUUUAAAAAGAUGUGAUAGCUUAUUUAAUAAGCUGCUUAUGAAAAGUAACUCCCUAUCUGCUUUUAAAAGUUAAUGUCAAAAUAGAGAAAAUUAUAAAAUAAACAGUUUUUACAAAAUUUAACAAAUACUAUUUUUGUCACAGAUUAUGAAAUAGACAGUUUAUUGAGUUUUAACCUCAAUUCCAAACAGGGGCCACAAUAUCCACAUGACAAGCACUUAUUGAGAGCUUAAUUUGUGAAUAUAUGAGAUUUUUUUUUCUUUUUCUAAAUGAUUUAAUUUUUUUGCACAUAUGGCAUCAAAUGCGAGUGCAUGAUAGAAUAAAGGAAAAAAAAAAAAAAAGAAUGCAUUACCCUACGCACCUUCUCGUUGAAAAGCAGAGUUGAAGUAUCCGAACUGAUCUCGUUGGAACUAGCUAUCAAUUCCUCUUGCGACUCUUGUCUGUUUGGUGAUGUGGAAGGAGUCUUCACUUCACGGCAAAACCUUGUAACCUUUGGAAGCGUUCCCAGACUCAAAGAUCUUAGUUGACCAAACUCUAUCGUCUCAUCAACAUCGACAUCAGCUUCUCCUCCAGUUGCAAAAAUCUCUUCCAUGCUGCUGCAAUUGAGAACUGCAAUCCUCUCAAGUCUUGGAAGGCAUUUUGUACUACUAGAGAGCCAGAAGAUAUUACUCAUCUCAUCACAAUUUUCCACUUUUAUGGUUUGGAGUUCAUUGAAGGACUCUAUUGUGAGUCGAUCAAUACAUAUCCUCUCCAUAUUGAUCAAAUUGUGAAGAGUAAGGGACUCCAAAAGAGGAAAGGCGACACAAGGUUCUCUCUCCAUUGAAUCGGCAAUACACAGGAAGUCUGGAUUAUUUUGAACAUGGAGAUGCUUCAAUUGUGAAAAGCCCUCAGUGUCCAAUUCGAAAACAACAUUCUUGAUUCCUUGCAACUUAUCUAAACAUAAGUAUUCAACGUUAUUGAUGCCCUGCAACUUCUCGGAGCAAAUGGCCAUAGAAUCAAGCUUGAGCUUCAAUGUUCUUAAACUCUCAUGAUUACUGAUUGUUAGAGCAGCUCAUUAUGCUGAACAGAAGAAGGUGAAGACUAAGAUGAAGAAAAUACAGAGCAAGUUACAGGGCAAGUGUGUCAGCAGUGCCAGCUCAGCUAACAGCUCAGCAGAUUAGUUAAAGAUGGUUGUAAGCAUGAUGUGCAUUGUACUGAAGUUAGUUAGCUUUGAUUACAGUUAGUCUUUGGAUUAGUUAAAUGAAGUUACCGUGAUUGCAUUGUAUAUAAACAGGUGAUGCUUUGUAAUCAAAAGUUAAGCAAAAUAAAAAUCAAAGUUUGUUAAGGAAAUAUCUCCAGAAUUAUCAAUUCAUUUUCUUAGUAACCAAACAACUUUAUUUCAUUUUUCUUUCAUGGUAUCAGAGCAAGGUUAAUGGCUAGUUCCAGUAGCACAACAUCAAAUCCAAAUCAAAUGAAUAUAAAUCAAUCAUCACAUAUCUCCUUUUCGUUCAGCACUCCAGUCAAAUUGGAUCGAUCAAAUUUCAUGAUUUGGCGAAAGCAAGUUCUUACUACAAUAAGAGGAAAUCGUCUUGAAGAUUUUAUUUCUGGAAAUCAAAUCAUACCAGAACAAUACAUUUCUAAUACAGUAGCUGAUGGAUCAGUACAGAGAAUCACGAAUCCAGCUUACAUCAACUGGCGAGCUCAGGAUCAAACUUUGCUUGGCUGGAUUUUGUCAUCCAUAAGUGAAGGUAUCUUAAAUACUGUUCUUAAUUGCGAAAAUUCAUUUGAAGCAUGGAGAUCAAUUGAAAAACAAUUUGGAGUACAAUCUGAGGCUAGAGUAUUGCAAUUGAGGUAUGAAAUGAAUGUCCUUAGAAAAGAGAAUAUGUCUGUUGAGGAGUACUGUUUAAAAGUAAAAGCUGUUGCUGAUAAGCUUGCUUGUGCUGGUAGCCCUGUGUCUGAGAAAGAUCUGCUAAUGCAAAUUUUGAAUGGCCUAGGACCUGGAUUUCUAGAUCUUGCUUCAAUAAUUACUGCUAAUAGAAUGUCGUAUGAUGAUGCUUAUGCAUUACUCUUAACACAUGAGGCAAGAAUGGAACAAAAUCAUAAUACUAAAGAUCUUUUUAGUGCAAACUAUGGGAUGAUGAAUGCUAACUACUCUCAGUUUAGAGGAAAUAAUAAGAGAGGUGGUUAUAGUGGAUAUCAAGGGCAAUUUAAUGCUGGAAAUAGGAAUCAAAAUGGAGGAAGAGGAAUGUUUUUCAAUUCAUUCUCAAGAGGUUUUCCAGCUGGUGGAUAUACUGGUAAUGCUGGUGGCAGAGGACAGCAAAUGAAUGCAUAUGCUUAUAAACCUGUGCUUAACAACAGGCAUAAUUUCAAUAUGAAUCAUGGCUCAACUUCAAUGUCCAAUGGAAAUGGAUCUGAUGAUAAUGUGCUUAUCUGUCAAAUCUGUCAUAAAGCUGGACAUGCAGCUGAUGUUUGUUGGCACAGACACUUUGAUGGCUAUGCUCCUCAACCCAGACAAUUUGGAAGGGGCAGAGGGCAUAAGUCUGCUUAUAUGGCUAACUUUGAUCCACAAAUUGGCUUUACUUCACAAUUUGAAGAUUCGUUUGCUACAGAAUAUCCUGGUUAUCAUGGGUACCAUCCACCUGAUAUGAAUGCAUCAGUUGCAUCAGUAAGUCAUCACUCAUCUGAUAUGCAUUCUGUACCUGGAGCAGCUUAUAUUGCAAAUUUUGAAGGACCAGCUGAUGAAGGGUGGUAUCUUGAUAGUGGAGCUACGCAUCACAUCACUAACAACAUGGCCAAUAUGCAUAUCAGAGAUCAAUUCAGUGGAGCAGAUCAGCUCAUUAUUGGAAAUGGACAAGGUUUGCCCAUAACUCAUGUUGGUGAUGCAUCCUUUCUCUUUAAAAGUUCCAAUUCUACACACAAACACUCACCUAUAGUACUUAAAGAUAUUCUGUUGGUGCCUUCCAUUACCAAAAAUUUGUUAAGUAUCUCGAAGCUUACCACUGAUAACAACUUGUCUGUUGAAUUUCUUGGAAAUGUUUGUUUUGUGAAGGAUUCUCUGAGGGGACAGGUACUUCUGCAGGGUCUUGCUGAGAAAGGGUUAUACAGGCUGUUAUUGAAAUCAUCAUCAUCCUCUCAGUUAUCAUCAUCUUUUCUUUCUCACAUGUGUUCCAAUAAACCUUUGUCUAUGCUUUCUUGUUGUUGUUUCAAUUCUGUUCCUUCUGGAGUUGUUACAGAAUCUCAGAAAUCAUGUAAUCAAACUGAUGAUUCAUCUUGUAAAACUUCAGUUAAUAAAGCUAUUUUGCUUCAUAGAAAGUUUGGUCAUCCCAAUCAUCAAAUAUUAACUCAUAUACUCAAAACAGCAAAAUCUAUUCAUUUACCUGCAUAUCAAAAGCAACAAAUGCAUCAGCACAUCUGUGAGGCCUGUCAAAUGGGCAAAACACAUAAACUUCAUUUUCCUAUUACUGAAACCAAAACCUCCAAAACUCUAGAACUUAUACACACUGAUUUAUGGGGUCCUUCUCCCAUUAUUUCUAGAGAUGGUUAUCAGUAUUAUAUAAGUUUUGUAGAUGACUACAGCAGGUAUACAUGGAUUUAUCAUUUGAAGCUAAAGUCUGAGGCAUUAGAAGUCUUUAAGCUCUUUAAACUGCAGGUUGAAAAUCAGUUUAGCACAACCAUUAAGAUGAUGCAAUCUGAUUGGUGGGGAGAGUAUAGACCAUUCACUGAGUUUUUAAGCCAAUUUGGUAUCAUCUUUAGACAUCCUUGUCCUUAUACUCAUCAUCAAAAUGGGUUAGUUGAAAGGAAGCAUAGACAUAUUGUUGAAUUGGGUCUGACUCUCUUAGCUCAAGCUCAACUUCCCUUUAAGUUCUGGUGGGAUGCAUUUCAUACUGCUGUAUAUCACAUCAACAGACUUCCAUCUCCUGUUUUGCACCUUUUAACCCCAUAUGAAAAGACAUUCAAACACAAACCUGAUUAUGAUUUUCUCAGAUGUUUUGGGUGUUCUUGUUAUCCUUACUUGAGAGAUUACAAUAAACAUAAAUUUGCCUACCAUUCUAGUAAGUGCAUAUUCAUUGGUUACAGUCCUUCACAUAAGGGCUACAAAUGUUUACACCCUUCAGGUCGAGUCUAUGUGGCAAGACAUGUUACCUUUGAUGAAUCAGUUUUUCCUUAUGCCACUGAGUUUGUUUUUCAUAGUCAUGCUAAAACUGAUUCUCAAAUUUCUCAUUCCCAUACACCACAGCAAAUCCAUCAUAUCUCUUCUUUGCCUGUCAAUAACAGCACUGGUAAUCUGAACUCUGUAAGAUCUGGAAGCAGCAGUUCAAGUCACUCAGAUCAUCUAGAACAGACAGCAACUGAUCAGAAUUCACAACAAGCUACCAUAAAUGACAGGUCACCUUUUCAUACAUGUCCAACAAUUGUUGAAUCUAUACAAAAUAUUCCAGAACCUCCACAUCACUCUUUGCCUAUACAAAGUCACCAUCCUAGCAACACCUCUUUCUAUCCAUAUACACAACCAAAUACACAUCAGAUGAUAACCAGAAGUAAAGCAGGGAUUUUCAAACCCAAAAUUUAUACUGCUGUGCUUACUCACAAGGAACCAGAUACUGUGCAAGAAGCAUUAAAUGAUUCAAAGUGGCUACAAGCUAUGAGGGAGGAAUAUGAUGCCUUGAUUAAGAAUAAUACAUGGACAUUGGUUCCAAGACAAGCUGAUCAGCAUGUGGUUGGAAAUAAAUGGGUGUAUAGAAUCAAAUAUAAUACAGAUGGAAGUAUAGCUAAGUAUAAAGCUAGACUUGUUGCAAAGGGUUUUCAGCAAGUGGCAGGGAUUAACUAUUUUGAGACAUUUAGUCCAGUUGUGAAGUCAGCUACAGUUAGAGUAAUACUUAGCUUGGCAGUGAUGAAUCAGUGGAGAAUAAGGCAAGUGGAUGUCAAUAAUGCCUUUUUGAAUGGAGAGCUAACAGAAGAAGUUUUCAUGUCUCAACCUGAUGGCUUUAUUGAUGCUCAGAGAUCUGAUUUUGUAUGCAAAUUACACAAGUCUCUGUAUGGGCUCAAGCAAGCUCCUAGAGCCUGGUAUGACAAGCUUAAAGGAUGCUUAAUAAGCUGGGGUUUCACUACUACUAGUUCUGACACCUCAUUGUUUGUUAGGAAGAUCAAGACAUCUAUGAUCAUAGUUCUUAUAUAUGUUGAUGACAUACUGAUCACAGGUCCAAACACUGAGGAGCUGGAAGGUUUCAUAACUGAAUUCAGCAAAACUUUUGCUCUAAAGGAUCUGGGAGUGUUAUCUUAUUUCCUUGGAAUUGAGGUAUUAUAUGAUGCAGAUUGUAUGUACUUGUCACAGAGAAAGUAUAUCAGAGAUUUGUUAUCGAAGGUAGAAAUGACUGAAUGUAAGGGCAUUGAUACACCCAUGAGUACUGGCUCUAAACUGCAAAAGAUAGUUCAGGGGGAACUUGGAUACUAUCUUGAAGAUCCAACUCAUUAUAGAAGCAUAGUUGGAGGAAUGCAGUACCUGAUACUUACCAGACCUGAGAUUGCGUUUGCUGUAAACAAGCUCAGUCAGUAUGUAGCUGCACCAACACUACAACAUCUAAUGGCAUGCAAGAGAGUUCUAAGAUAUCUGAAGGCAACUCAAGAUUAUGGUUUAAAAUUUUUCAGAGAAGGAAGCUUAACACUCACUAGUUUUACUGAUGCAGAUUGGGCAUGUGACUUAGAUGAUAGGAAAUCAGUUGGUGCUUAUUGCAUUUAUUUAGGCAAUAAUUUGAUAUCCUGGUCUUCUAAGAAACAAUCAGUGAUAACCAGAUCAAGUGCCGAGAGUGAGUAUAGAGCUUUGGCAUCAGUGAGUGCAGAGCUGACAUGGUUACAAUCCUUAUUUUCUGAGUUGGGAUUAAGUUGCAUAGAAAAGCCAAUCAUAUGGUGUGACAACAUUAGUGCCACUGAACUAGCAAAGAAUCUUGUGUAUCAUUCAAGAACAAAGCAUAUCGAAAUUGAUAUGCACUUCAUUAGGAAUAAGGUUCUUGCUGGUGAGUUGAUUAUUCACUAUGUACCAAGUGAAGAACAGAUUGCAGACAUAAUGACCAAGCCUCUCUCAUUUGUAAGGUUUAACUACUUGAGGUCCAAACUCAAUGUCCAUCUUUGUCCUCUGAGUUUGAGGGGGGCUGUUAGAGCAGCUCAUUAUGCUGAACAGAAGAAGGUGAAGACUAAGAUGAAGAAAAUACAGAGCAAGUUACAGGGCAAGUGUGUCAGCAGUGCCAGCUCAGCUAACAGCUCAGCAGAUUAGUUAAAGAUGGUUGUAAGCAUGAUGUGCAUUGUACUGAAGUUAGUUAGCUUUGAUUACAGUUAGUCUUUGGAUUAGUUAAAUGAAGUUACCGUGAUUGCAUUGUAUAUAAACAGGUGAUGCUUUGUAAUCAAAAGUUAAGCAAAAUAAAAAUCAAAGUUUGUUAAGGAAAUAUCUCCAGAAUUAUCAAUUCAUUUUCUUAGUAACCAAACAACUUUAUUUCAUUUUUCUUUCACUGAUCAUAAAGUGCUGCCGACAUUCAAACCAGUCGUUCCCAAUAACCUUGGUAGAGUCGAAUGAUGCAUCUCCUAUUGAUAUAUCAAACCUUUCCAGCUUUUUGGAAAAAAAGCCAUCCGGUAAAAUGCUAUCGUUUUUAACAUCUAUUUCUAAAGUGGUCAAUCGCCUCAAAUGCAUCAAUUCGUCGAGGGUGGCAUUACUUCUUUCACUAUUGGCUUUUUCAACUUCCCAUUCAACAGGGGAAUUACCCAUAUACAGUUCUUCCAAUCGAGUGAAGCUUGAUAAGAUGUUGGGCAAAAUAAAUUUUAGUUGCAAACAAUCUCUUAAAUCUAGCAGCCUUAACUUAGUCAGUUGACCUAGUUCGUAAGGCAACCGUACAAUAUCAGACCUUAAAAAGCUAAGGAUUUCUAGAUUCUUCAACUUCCCAAUUAUGGCUAUGUCUCCCAACAUGCUUUGUACUAGACACAGUGUUUGAAGAUUUGCUAGAAGAUCGAUUGAAGAUGGCAAUGAAAAUAAUCGCAUUCCUGUCAAAUCCACAACUCGAAGCUUUUUCAUCCCUUUGAAAAAGUUCUCAGGGAUAUUGAGCUCGACAAAAGAGUCUUUGGGAUGAAUAAGUAAAAAUUCAAGUUGCGGACAUUCCAAUUCCUUAGAAACUUCAUGAAUGCUACUAUACAGUAAAGAGAUUGCAGAGCAUUUUUUAAGUGCAUCCUCAUCUGGCCACUCCCACACAACCUCACUUCUCACCAAGAAAACAUGUUGUUCUCGACAUGCAAUUGAAAUGGCAACAUCGCAGACAACAUCAUGCAUAGAAAAUUGUUCAUUACUAUCACCCUCAAGCAAAAAACAACAAUCUCUAAGUUCAUGGAGCAAUGCAUAUAAUUUGUUUCGUGCAUCUACCAUCCUGUUGACUCCUUGAAAUAUGCCCAAACCCAUAGAGUACCUAAACAAGUCUAGAAACCAAAAACUGUUACCUAUUAGACUACAGAGAAGAAAAUUUUUCUUGAGUUGCUCACCUUUUAAAUACUUGAAACUCAGCUCAAUACUUGAAUAAGUCUCUGCAGGCACACCUUCGAAGUUUACCAUUGAAGGCGUUUGGAGUUCUCGCAAGGCAUUCUUCCAUUCAUGCAGAGUCUUGUUUCUCAGUGCCCUUGCCACUGUAGUCAAGGCAAUGGGCAAACCUCCACAUGCCUGGGCUACAUUAAUUGCUAUAGACUUGAACUUACAAUUGUCAACAUCAUCACCAAUCAUUAUCUUAAACAAUCUCCAAGCUUCUUCUUCAUUUAGAUUGCCAAUCAAAAAGUUAUCUUUGGAGCCCAUACUUAAUAGUACAUUAUUAUCUCUUGCUGUGAGCAAUAGUCUACAUCCUUUAUGAUCAUUUCCAAAAGGAAUUCCAAUCGUCUCCAAAUCAAGAUGUUUCCAGAUAUUAUCUAGAAUCACAAGAAUCUUAUUCUCAUUCUUCAAUCGUUCAUACAGCCUGCUGGCUCUUCUAUAUUCAGCUUCAUCGGACAACUCCAGACCUAACUUCUCUGCAAUUUCCCCUUGUAUCUUUUUUAUGUCUGGAGUUUGUGAAACCUCUGAAAAAACCACACGAUCAAACAGCUUCUUUUCCCUGGCUUGCCUAGCAAACUCCUUCACCAGUGUCGUCUUUCCAAUGCCGCCCAUGCCGUACACCCCAAUAAUGCUGACGUUCACAUCAGUCAACACAUUUUGUAUAGACUUCAAAGUAGAAACUCUUGAUUCGAAGGCCUCGUAACCUUUGUUAGACUUAAGCCAUAUCUCCUCCGGAAUGGCACGGUGGGAAACGAUAUCAAACUUCUUAACUUCUUCUCCAAGUUCAACAAGGGCCUUCACCUCUGUCUCUGCUUUCUUGCUAAGCUGAUAGCGGGUCUUCAAAUUAGGACACAAGCCCUUGAGACAGCGCUUAUUUGUUGACUCUUCAUCUUCAACGAAUUUGGCUGCCCGGUCAAUGAUGCCGUUAGCACUAACCAGCCACUUCUCAACCUUCUCUUCAAUCUCUUCCCCUUUUUCUUUCGCCUCUGAAACUCUGCGCUGAAUGCUCGUACGUUCAACCUUCAACUUCUCCAUUUCCGCCUUGAGAUUCUCAAGGUUGGCAUUGUAGUUCCGCUUGCGCAAAUAAACAAGUUGGCGUUCUGUUGGAGGAGCCAAGCAUUUUACAAGUUCCAAAAUGAGAGUAACAAUGAUUUCCAGCAUCUUGAAUCCUGACAACAAUGUAGAAAUGAAGAAGGCCAAAGGACAGUAAGAACAGAGAGACAACGAUACGACAAGCAGUUAUGGAGCUAAAAAUAAAUAACAAACAAACAGAAGCAAAGUGUUUUUCGAAUGAGAAGAAGGAAGCAAGAAAAGGGUUUCUAUUUAGAUUAAGAAUGAAUGUAAAGAAGUGACAAAGAUGUCACAUAAUGUAAUUAAGUACUGAAUCCAAAUCCUAUCCUAAAUGGUUAGAUAAAAAUAAGGGAAUGAAAAGAGUAAUGGUAGAUUAAUUUAUGAGGCCAAUUAACGAAACGACAGAUCUGGUUUCCAUGUUUGUAAUUUAAGUGUAUGAGUACGAGGUGAACCAACUCUUUGUCGAGUCAAGCAAUUAGAAGGAGAAAUUACUAAAACAAGAACCAGCAACUUUUACUCACACAAGAGCUAAUAAUGUAUUGAGAUUGUGCAGAGUAAUACAAAACCUUAAAACUAGUAUAAUAAAUUUGUCAUCAAGUUUUAGCCUUCUUCUUCAACCAAUUACAGCACUAUCUUGAGCUCUGAGUUUCUUUUUUUAAAAUUUUUCAAAAGAUCUUUGUCAUUAGUUUUUCAAUGAUAAAAAUUAUAUUUUUAUCUCAUAAAAUAUAAAAUUUUAAAAAAAUCAAACAUAUAUUAUAGGUUUGUUUGAGAUUAUUUUUAAAGGCUCAAAAGUCACUUUUUAAAGUUAAAUGUUAAUUUUGGUAUUUGGUAAAAUUUUUAGAAAUCACCUUUGGUAAAAUCACUUAUCCCACAACAAAUUUCGGAAAGCAAAAAAGGAAUAGUUUGUCAAAAUCUAAUUUUGAUAACCAGUUUUAUACUUAAUAUAAUUCUAUAUACAACCUUAUAUAUAUUAUAAAAAAAAAAUAUCCUUAUUAUUUAGGAAAUAAAAUUAUUAAUUUUAAAGAUAUUUUAACAAUUACAUUGAGAUAACAAAAUAAAAAUAAAAUUAAUAAUAUAAAAUAUCUAUUUCUGUUAUCAAUUAUUAUAUAUACAAGAUAAAAAAAAUAUGUUAUAUACAUGUUUAUAAAUGUAUAAAUAAAUUUUAUCUAACAUUAUGUUCAAUUAAGUCAUUUACAUUAAUAGCACUUUUACAAGUAAAUUUUCCUAAAUGUUUAACUGAUUAUCUUCACAGUGAUUAUUUCCACAACAUAACUACCAGAAAUUAUUGUAAAAGAUACAACAUUACCAAAAAAAUAUUGAGGUACAUUUUAAUUAAGUAAUUGACUUAAUUAUGAAUCAAUUUAUUAUUUUCAUCUGUGUUAUCUAAACCAGCUCAUUAAUGAGAUCACUCUUUUUCUUAAAUAAAAUAUUCCUGCCAAACAAUUGUUGCAAAAUUUCAAAUAUAAAUUACAAACAGCAAAAUUUUCUAAAGUCAUAACAAUUAUUUAUGUUUUGAAGGGUCCAGCUAGCUUGCAACCGUGAUUUGGUACCCCAUUUUUUGUCUUUUUGUGAUCCAACCAUUAGAUCCAACCCAAAAGUUGUAAAAGCUAUUCCAACGGCAAGGAUGCAAUUACUUAGUUAUUAACGCUGAAGCCCCUCUUGUUUCAUAAAAAAAAGAAAAGGUUAAAUUUCAAGAUUUUGACACAUAAGUCCAUCAAAAUAUUUUAUGAUUUUUAUAUGAGUCCAGGUAAUUUAAUAAAUGAAUAUAUUUAGAUAUACAAAAAUAUGGAUGGAUUAUUUUAACUUGCUAAAAUACUCCCCACAUCCAUUUAUUUAAAAUAUCAAUUACAAAAAAUCCCAUUUUUUAGUAUAAUUUUUUUAAAAAUAAAAUACCCAUUUAAUGUUUUACCAUUUAAGAUAGUGUUACUUAUAAGGAUAAAUAAUUAUUUUAACUAAAUAAAUGAAACUUAACUUUUAUUUCUAUAAAUUUGCUCAACAUCAUAUAACCUUAUAAUUGUUAGCAUAAGAUAUAAAUUUAGUCUAAAAAAUUUAUUCAAAGGGUCCCCUUAGGGCAAAAAAUUAAUUAUCAUAUGAUAAUUUGGUUGGCACAAACUCUAUUAUUCUUAAUUUACUUAUCCAUGCCAAACACUAUAUUGGAAUUAAAUUUUAGUAAAAUAAACAUAUGUCAACAUCUUUAACCGCAUUCAACUGACCCUAAUUGUUUAGAUUUUGUUAUAGAGAGCAAGAUAUAGUUCUUUUCUUAUUAUAGUAGUAAAAAUAAAUAAAAAUAAACACAAUAGAUUUCUUUUAAGAGAAUGCAAGCAUUAUUUUUAUGAGAUUUUGUGUUCAAGAAAUUAAUCUAAUUAUGUGGUUAGAAGACUCUCUAUUUUGUGAUAUUUUAGAAGAAUUAUAUGUUGGAUAAAUGAAUAAAUUAAGAUCAAAGCAAAACAAAAAUGAUUGAGAAGAAAACCGAGAGAGAAUAAUUUUUUAAAUUUUAAAAUUUUCAUUUUUUAAUUGGGGUUUAUUUUGUAAAAUUAUUGCAAUUUAUAGUUUUUAAUAUUACCAAAAACAGUAGAGAUUGCUAAAGAAAAUGCCAAACAAAUUUUUUAGAAUUAUAAAAUUAUUAUAUUUUAAUUAGGGCUUGUUGUGUAAAAUUUUUAAAAUUUAUAGUUUUUAUUAUUUACCAAAAACAAUGAGGAUUGUUAAAGAAAAUGUCAAAAUUGGGUGUUUGGUAUAACGGAGGCAAAGUAGUUUCGUCCUGUUUUGAAUACAUGUAACUAAACCACAUUGAAAGUUGUCAAAACAGGAGGACCUAAUGUUAGUAAAAUUAUUUUUCAAGCAAAUGCAGUGACGAAUUUGGUUUCAUGUUUCACCCUCGAUAACUUAAUUUUCAUAUCUAACAAAUCAUCCAUAUUAUUAACAAUAUCAUCACCAACCAUAAUCUACCUAAACAUAAACUAAACAUAACACAUACAUAUAACUAUAUACAUACCGAAUCAGGAAAACAAUGAGAGCUACACGUAUCCGGCUCCACAAUUCCUUGUUGAUACCCUUGUGCUUCUAAAAUUAUCAACCAAUUAUAAAAAUUAGCUUAGGCGCAACUUUACCCCUUUUUUUUGGAAAACUUAACUAUAAAUAAAGUAUACAAAUCUCUAAAUUAACUUUUUUCCCAUGAAAUUCAGCAUAAAUAGAAAUAGAAUUAUAGAAAUCUUACUUCCUUUUAUGAGAAAUCCAACUUAUAUAUUUGAGACCUCUCUCUCUAAGCACGCGCUUCCUCUCUCUGUAUACUUUCCACCUUUAAAUUCUCCUCAUUAAAUCUGUCUAAAUGAAUUUAGCAGUCUCCCAGUUUCUUUAGCAUUUUUCUCCGUGAAAAUAAGUGAAAAGCGAAAGUGAUUUGAUUAUUUUAAUGUAUGACAGAUCUGGUUUCCCAUCUCCGUAAUUUAAGUGUAUCAAAUUGUCGAGUCAGUCAAAUAUAAAAGACAAAUUACUAAACCAAGCAGAGCCAAAAAAAAAAAAAAAUUCCAAUUAAAUAAUCAUCAAGUCUUUUUCAAUUAAAAUAGGGAGUGCAGAACAACUGUCGAGAGAUAAUCAUUGUUUAUGGAGCCAUAUUAUAUUUUCGAUUAAAAUAUUUGCGCGUGAACAAUUGGCAGAAUUCGUAUAAAUUGUUGUAAGGUCUAUUAUAAUUAACAAGCGGAAUGGCCAAUGGAUGAAGAACCACUGUAAUUUCGUUUAUGAAUUUAAAAUGCUAAAGAAACUGGACAUCAACGCUAAAUGUUAGCCUGCGGUCCUUGCCUCAGUUUCUUUCAGGCGUUACUCUGGGUAGUUGAUAUACUGACCGUCCCUUUAUCAAUUAAUAAUCGAAAUAGGUUAAAAUAUGAAUGGAUUGGAAUGGUAUGACUUGGAAAUGGGAUGACAAUCAGAUUAAUUUAUUCAUUUAAACUGAGAAAUUAGAAUCAAAAUAAAUUAUAUUGUUAUUGAUAUAUUUACUUUAUCUUAAAAUUAUGAUAAGUUGUUACGAGUUAUUAAUAUGCCUUAUUUUUUAUUAUAAUAAUUAUUAUUUAUUAUAACAUUUUUCAUAUAAUAAUAAUAAUAAUAAUAAUAAUAAUUAAUAUUGAAAAAAUUUUAUUGUUAAUAAUAAAGUAUCAUUAGAGUACUAGACAAGCUCACCACGUCUAAGCUAAGUGAAGAAAUAGACUUCAUCAACAAAGCUUUUGUGAAUAUGCGUUACAUUACAACUGCGAUAUCCUUUCACUGUAUAUUCAUACAGUGGCAGGCCAUGUGACAUUGUGACCCAUGUGCUAGCUUUCACUAGUCAUAUUAUUUUUUUACACGGUGUUUAACAAAAUCUUCACGUAAAGAUUUCAGACGCGUGAUCCUAAUUCAAUAUGCAUUAUUUAUUUAUUUAUAAAAUGAAAAUAAAAAGAUAAAAGGAUGUGACUUAACUUGCUAUCAGUGCGGAUCCAGGACUUAAUAUUAUUUCGGGUUAAAUUUUAAAAUUUAUAUUUUGAAGUGAACAUAAAAAUUUAUAAAUAAAAAGAAGUAUAUUAAAUGAGGGGAGACAUGGAGAGCUUUAUCCCUAUGAAUAUGUAUUAUAAACAAAAAUAAUUAUAAGAAAAGAAUAGAAACCAAAAGGCAAUUCAAAUAUCAAAACACUAUUUUUCAAUUAUGAAAUCCGACAUUGCAACCUAAUAACAUGUAAUUAUAUAAGGAUUAAUAAAUCAAUUAAGAAUUUCAAACUAAAUUAGAUCAGUACAUGUAAUUAAAAUUAAUUAAAGAUUUCAAGUAAAACUUUUAUGUUUGAAGUCAAGUACUAAAUUACCAAGCUUAAAUAAAUUUAAAAAAUUAAAAUUCAUUCAUUCUUUCGAAUUAUAAAAGUAUCAUUAGUCAAAAGUUUUAGUAAUAAACUAAACUCAAUUCAACAAAAAGUUAUUUGGAUAUCGUUGUUUCAUUGCCAGUGCACUGACUUUCUUUAUAGAAGUAUAUGUUAAUGAUUCUUCUAUUAAAGCUCUUCAAAAUACCUAAAUUUUAUUUUCUAACUUCUUCUCGUAGUUAAUGUAACUAAUAAAUAGAAUCUGAAAAUUCACAUAAAAUAUUUAUGAAAAUGUUGAUAAUUGUUACUAUAUGUUGUUUUCGUAAGUACUUUUAAUGCUAGUAACGAUGUUAUAUUACAUUGAUUUAUAUUUUUUUCAAUUAGAAGUUUUUUAAAAUAAAUUAAAGCAAUAAUAAUAUUUUAGCUCCCUAAUGUUUUCAAUCUAUCCAAUAAGUAUAUAAUUUAAUCAUUUUAUAAAAUAAGUCACUAAUUUCAAUUGGAAAUAAUACAAUUGAAUUAGGGACAUAUUUGAAUAUAAAAUAAUAGCUCAAUUGUUAUACUAAAUUGAUGAAAAUAUAAGGGUAAUUGAGUUAGGAAAAUAUUUGAAUAUAAAGUAAAAACUUUAUUGUUAAACUAAAUUGAUGAAAACAUAAGAAUACUUGAGUUAGGGACAUAUAUGAAAACAAAAUAACAACUCUAUUAUUAUAAAAAAUUUAUAAGAAAACAAGGUGUAUAAAUGAUUUUUUCUGUUCUAGACCAAGCUACAGCCUAGUCUAGCCAGCUGUAGGUCUCCCACUACUUGCUAUUUACAUACAGACAUGUGGCCCUUAUUCUAAUAUCUAUAGGAAAAGACACCUAUACUCCAAGAUUUGAAGAAAGAUUUGAAGAAAUAGUCACGUAGAUCUCUAAGUUUUCAGUAACCACAAUUUCUCUUUGACUAUAAUAUUUUUUGUACUUAGAAAAAAAAAUGACUUUAGAUUUUUUUAAUAAAUAUAAAUAUAAGUUAAAUAGUUUAAUUUGUCUAAUAGACUAAUAAUAUUAGAAUAUUUUUAAUAUAUAAAAUAAUUUUUAAAUAAAAAAUAUUAUAUUUAUUUUAAUAAUAUAUUUUUAUUUAUCAUAAAAAUAUUAAAUAAAUCUUUGGGGUUAAAUAGAAUUUAAAAUUAAUAAAACACAUCUCAUUAAUAAAAUAUAUCUCAUGUACUAAUAAUAUUGAAAUUAUUUUAAUAUAAAAUUUAUUUUAAAAUAAAAAUAAAUUUAGAAUAUUGAAAAAUUUUAUAAAAUUUAUUUUAAUAUUAUGUUCUUAUUUAUUAUAAAAUUUAGUCUAAUAUAAUGUAAGAUUGUAAAGUAUAAAAAUAUUUUCCUAAAUUGAAGUUGUUUUAAAAUGUUAAUAUUUUAUGUUUAUUUCAAUAUUAUAUUUCUAUUUAUUAUAAAUCAUAGGAGUCAAUUUUUUUCAGUUAAUAGAAUCAAAGGGUAUUAUAGUCAAAAGAGGUAUUGGUAUUCCUUAUUAAAAAUUUAGGCGUCUACAUGACUAUUUCCCAAACCUUAGGGUGUAACUUUCUUUUCUCCAAAAUUUAUGAUUCUCUGUAGGUAUUUCAUGAAGGAAAACGAUAUUUACACUGAAUCAAAUCCCGAACUAAUUAAAAUGCACUAUUUCAGCUUAAAUAAUGGUAAAUAUUUGUUUAGUCUCUAUAUUUUGAAUUAAGUACCGUUUAGUCCCUCAAGACACCUUUUUCAGUAAGCACAAUAUAAUCCUACCCUUACUUUUUCUUUGAUUCUAUAAUAACAUGCUUGCAACAAUAUUUUUAGAUAUGUUAAUGUAAAGAAAAAUUUAAAUUUAUCAAAUCAGCCUUAAAAGAAAAAUACAAAUUAGUUGUUAUUAUUAUUAAUAAAAUAAUAAAAUAAUAAAAUAAUAAUAACAAUAAUUAACAUUAAUUAAAAUAAUAAAGUUAAUAUAUUAUAUAAAAAAUAAUAUUUACAUUUAUCAAUUUUUCAUGUGUUCAAAAUUUUUUAUGUGAUAUUACAUUAUUAUCUUUACACCAUCAAUCAUUUUUAUGAUCAAGUUAGGCUAAUGGAUCAAACUUUAAAAAAUUUAAAACAAUAGGAGUUAUAUAAAUAAAUAUUUAAAAAAUUUUGUUUUUAUGAUAUUAUAAUAAACGGUAGAGACUUAAGUGUUAAUAACCAAUUGAACACGUUGAACACUUUAGCUAUUAGAUCUGGCUAAAUUAGAAAAAGACAAAAUUUAGGGUACCGUGCAACUGUUGCAAGGUAGGCGGACCCGUUAUAUUUAAUAUAGAAUAAAUAAACUAAAUAUGUGUAAAGAAUCUAGGUUAGUAACCUUGCAAUACUUCAGAAAAUUAUAAAAUACAAAAGGUGAAAUUUCAAAAUAAGGAAUUGUAAAAAGUGUUAGGUUCUAAAAUUUUAUUAUUUUAAUAUUACAAAAAUUUACUUUUUUAUUACAUUUUUAUUUUUAAUAUUAGUUGACAUUUUAGUUUAUUUGUAUAUAAUAUAUGUUAAUUUACCUAUAAAAUACUAAUAUUACUCUUGAAAUUUAAAGAAGUCAUUUUAAUUUUUAAAAAUUUUAAAUGUAGCCCAACAAAGUCAUAGAAAUAUAAAUAAAGAAUAACAUAAAAGGAAGUUAAUUUAAUUUUUUUAAGAAUAUUUCAAAAGCAUUUGAGUUUUAUGUUUCUUGAGAAUUAUACCAUUUUUUUUUAGAUAUUUGAGCUUGUGAAACUUGUUGUAAUGAUAAUUUAUUAUUUAUUCUUGAUUAAAAAUAAUUGAAUAGUAAAUUUAUUGGCUUCUAAUUACUCUUUUAAAUGUAGGGUGGUUGCUUAAUUUUUAUUAUGUUUCCUUAAACUUUUUGAUGAUGGCUAAUCAACCAUUGCAAAAGACUCUACCUGAUUAUUGUUUCCUUAAACUUUUUGAUGAUGGCUAAUCAACCAUUGCAAAAGACUCUAGCAUGAUUAUUUUUACUUUCUCUACAUCCCUCUAGACCAUCAUCACUCAAAGAAUUAAGGGUUCACUUGGCAUACUGUAUUAUACUAUACUGUAUUGCAUUAUUUAAUAUGGGUAUAUUGUAUUAUGUUAUAUUACAUUAGUAAUAAAUUAUAAUAAUAUUUGUACAACAUUUGGUAAUUGGUAUUACAUUGUACUGCAUUAAUUUUAUAUUAAUAUUAAACUAACAUUAUUUAAAUUUAUUAUUAAUUAUAUUAAAUUAUUAUUUUUAUAUUAAUUAUUUUUAUAUAAAUAUAAUAUGAUAUAAUAAAAUAAUAUGAUAGUAUAAUUUACUUUUAUGUUUUUAUUUAUUAUAAUAAAAAUAAAAAUAUAUUUAAUGCUCAAUUAAGGUAAAAUAAUAAUAAUAACAAUAGUAUUACUUAAAAAAAAAUCUAUAAAGUUUAAUGAUGAUCAUGAUGUUGACGACAUUAAUAAUAACAUAACAAUUAAAAUAAUAAAACUAAUAAAUUUUAAUAAUGUUAAUAUUAAUAAAAUAAUAAUAACAAUAAUUAACAUUAAUUAAAAUAAUAAAGUUAAUAUAUUUUAAUAAUAGUAAUAAAAUUAAUAUUAAUGACAGUAAUAAAAUUAAUAAAUAAUAAUAUGACUUAAUUAAAAUAAUUAUAACAAUUAAAAUCAUAAAUUUUAACAAUAAUAAUAAUAAUAAUAAUAUUAUUAUUAUUAAUAUAAUAAUAAUGACAUUAAUAAAUAAUACUAAUAAUAACAUUCAAAUUUUUUUUAAAGCUAUUUUAUCCCAAAAAAGGGACUUAUAUAUAAAAUUUUGUAAAUUCUAGUGUCUAUUCAAAAUUUUCAUAAAAUAUAAGAUAGUGCAGUGUAAUUAAUAAAAAAAAGACAAAAUGAUAUGCUGCAACCGUUGCAACAUAUUUUCAUCCUUGUUUGUGAUCCUUAAUCAAUAAAAUAUCUGACAAUAUCUUCGCCAAAAGUUUAAGACAUGUGAUCCUUAUUCCACAGCGUCAAUGAAACUCCAGUCAAAUGCUGCCAUCAUUAUUGAACAGUCGAUAUCCAGCACGUGCACGAAGAUUCCAAGAAGUUGCAUGGCUAUCGACUUUUAGAUGCUAAGCCUCAUUGCGUUGAUGAUACACAAAACAGACGGUCAAGGUAAUUGCCAAAACUUAGAACUAAACAGUAGCUUAGUCAGAAAAUCAAACGCCAGUACCGGUAAAAUGACCGAUAAAAAUAUAAGGACAUAAAAAUUUUAAAGUUUUACUUUAUUGCUUUUUUAAUCUUAUUACUAUUUCUCCUUGCACUUCUAAAGAAACCAAAGCUUUAAAAGAAAUCAGCCAAAUCACAAAGAUUGAAGAGUAAAUCUAUGGUUUUAAAUUUUUAUUUUAUUUUUUUAGAUAAUAGAUAUUAUUUUGAUGAAUUUUUUAAUAUUAGAAUAAUGUUAGGAAUUCUAACAGUAGAAUUCUAACUUGGAACCCAAUUGAUAUGUGUCAUUUUUUCAUUGGAUAAUGAAUUUCAUCACUAGUAAAAUUAAUAUUUGGAUCAUCUAAUAAAUGACUACCAUAUCAAUUGGGACUCAAUUAUUGGGAUCCUUAAAAUUGCUCUUAGUAUUAUAUUGGACAUCUUAGCUAAAUCAAAUUAAAAAUUAAAUUAGAUUUUAGGCUUUAUUCAACAUCUCUUUUUGUCUUUUUUUUGGUCUAUUUGAAGUGAACGAAAUAAAAAUACAAUAGGGUCAACGACUGGGCAAUUGAUAGUCAAGUAGAAGCAAAUCAAGGCUAAAUGGGAAAGAGAAAUUAUAUUAGUGCAAAACAAGGAGAAAAACAGUGUAACAGAAGAGAAUCAAAGUGCUUUUGAGAUCAGAAAUUGAAACAAGAAAAGGGUCGCUUGAUCCAAUGAAAAUGCAAAGAGCUGACGGCAAAAGGGAAUAAAGUUAAAUAAGAAAAUAGCUAGCGCUAGCAGCAACCACAAUAAACAGAAAAUUUGAGAUGGAUUUACAAUAUUUCUGCCUUUCUUCAUGCUUUAACAAAUAUUGCUUUAUAAAAAAAAAGAAAUUGAGCGUUUUUAUUAUUGGAGUCACAAAAGACCUACACAAUAUAGCAAGUGACUGGGAAUAAAUAAAAAUAUAUAACUGAUAAGUGCAUAUUUUCCAUAUAUUUUGUUAUUAAUUUCUCCAUCUUUUUCUUGAUUUGAUCUUAAAUAUUCUAGUUAUUUUAGUUAAUUUUUAAUUAAUUGUAUUAUUUUAUUGAAUAGGGAAUUAAUUGGAGAUUGUGGAUAAAAAGGGCAUGAAGAAAUUCAAAUUGAGAAGGAAUAAGGAUUAAAUUGGAAAAGGAUUUCAAUUAGAAUGGAAAAAGGAUUUCUUUAUUCUUGUUGGAGAAGAAUUCGGUCAACUAGCUUUAUAAAAGGGGAGCUGCUGGAUGAAAAAAAAGGAGGAGAAUAUUCGGCAGCCAAGAGGAUUUGAGGAACUAGCAGCCGAAAGAAGGAAAAGCAAGGGAGAAACCGAAAAGGAAUUGAAGAAAAAGGCAGCUGCUUGAAUUAAUCUCCAUGAUUGGUUUUGUCAAUUCUCUUAUUUCCAAUUCAAUUAUGUUAGGCUAGAUUUUUAUUUGGUUGAGGGUGAAUUCAAAACCCUAAACAUGCUAUGCAAUUAAAUUUAAAUUCUAUCAUUUAAUUUAUUUAAUUGAGAUUGUUUAUGUUCUUCUAUAAUUAAUGUUCAUGGUUUGUUCUUGUUUUAUUUGAGUGGCCAAUUAGAUAGGACUUGAAUAAAUUUUAUUGCUAGAUUAAAAUUCUUGAUCCGUAAUUAUCUUGAUAUUUUAAUUAUUAGUAACAUGUUGGAAUUAGUGAUUUCAAUUAAAGAACAUAACCUAGGUUAAAUAAUCCGAGCUUGUGUGUUUAUUGCCUAGAUCAACCUAAUAUCUUUCUCUGUUUAAUGCUUCCAUUAUCUUAAAUUUAAAGAGCUUGUUUUAAAUUAUUUAAUGGUUAGAGAUUAGGUGAAGAGCUUAUUUUGCCUAACGACACACUAAGGAAAGAUUGAGACUAACAGAGCUUAUUGUUGUCUACGGUUGAUAGUUUUAAUAUAAAUUAAUGAUAGAAUUGAUAUAUUAUGUGCAUGUUUGGUGGUGGCGAAUGAUCCUUUAACCAAAGUUUUCAUCAUUAAUAUUUCUUUCUCCUUUAAUUAGAGUUUUUAUUAAAUUCUUGUUCGUAGUUUUAAUUUCUUUACUUCUUACUAUUUAGUUAAAAAUUCAUAAACCCCCUCUUUUAUUUAUAAUUGGUAAUUUCCUUAGUUAGAUUAAUUUAUAUUAUUAUUACUACUAUUAUUUUAUUUUAAAUCUUGCUUUAGAGUUGAUAAUAAAUAUAACUACAUAGUCUUUGUGGGAUCGAUCCUUACUCGCUCUGUACUAAUUAUUUAUAUUAGUGGUAAGGUUAUAAAUUUGGUGCACCUUAACGACACUACCAAAUUUUUGUAACUCUCUCUCUAAUUCUCACUCUAGCUUUUAAUUGUCACUCAAAACCCAGAAUUCAUCCUUAAAGUGUAAGCAAAUCAGAGAUGACAACGUCUGGCUGUCAUACGUGCCUUUUAGUUUUCGGAUGACAUGGCGUACACUUCUUCUGUAAACCGAACACGACAUGUCGUACUCUUUGUUUUGAGAUCAUAUUUCAAACUCUUCAUGCUAUGAAUGAAAGAUAAACUACAAUCAUAAACAUAUUUAGUGUUUAUUUGGUAAUGUAACGUUAUAGUUGUUGUGAAUUGAAAUUAUUUCUGUAAAAUAAAAGGAAUAUUUAUAAUAGUAUAAAAGGAAUAUUAAUAGAGGAUGUAUUAAUAUAAAAUUUGUUUAUUGGUGUUGAAGUUAAUUAUCUCAUUAAUAAUACUAUAAAAAUUUUAAUUACUAAGAAACACAUAGCAGUAGUUAAUUGGUGUCAUAUUAUUGGGAUUCAGGGAUAUAAUUUUAUAUCAUAACUUUGUAAGUGUAUAAUUACUCAUUAAAUUAAGAAAAUUAUUUAAAAAUAUUUAGUUGGAAAAAAUAAAUUAUAUUCUUUUUAUUUCAAAUAAUCUAUAAGUUAACUCAAAACAUAAUCAAGCUGAGAAUUAAAAUAAUGCUACUAUAUGAGAGGAUUUUUAUUUUUUCCCGAAGUUUCACUAGGAAAUUAUUGAUAUAUAGCUUUAUUCGGAUCAUCUCAGUUCAAACAACAAAUAAUUGAAAGACUAAGCUAAAUAGACCAGCCAACAACUUUGUGCAAGAGAGUUCAAAAAUUAAGGUCAUGGUAUUGAGGUGUUCUGUCUUGAAAAGUACAGCAUAGUGAUAAAAUAAAAACUAUUAAUCUAUGGUAAGGUAUGACUUUUAAAUAAUAAUUUUCACAAAAAUACAAAGAAUAUUUAUAAAGUACUUCUAUAGUGAGGAGAUCCUUACUUUGUUAAAGUAAAAAUAUCAAUAAUAUAAAAAAACAUAUAUUUUAACACAUUAAGAACUGUAUUUUCUUAAUCUAUUGGUGUAUUGAAAUAUGUGUUAUUUAGUUUGUUAGUGACAUCAUCACUUUGUUAAAAUAAAGAUGUCGUCACUAGAGAAUCAUUAUAUAUACAUAUAUAUAAAGUGUUUCUCUCCAAAACCUAGACUUUAUUAAAAUUUAAGAAAGCAAAUAUAUUUUAUAUGGUAUAAUAGUGUAAUAACAUCACACAAUUAUAUCAUAUAGAGUAAUAGUUUUUGGAACUUUAAUAAAGUUCAAGAUUAUAGAAUGAAUGAUUUAUAUAUAUUAUAAUUUUUUUAUCAUAGAGUGGAGGACAAAAUUAACAUAUUUUCUAAAUUAUAAUAAGUAAUUAUCAAAUAAUUUAACAUUGUAUUUCUCCUAACUAGUAUAGUAAAUAUGACCUAGGAGGUACAUUCAAAGCAUUUCAUAAGUUAGUUGUUAAUAAUAAAUGAUACAUGCAGCUCCAAUCAUCAUUGUACGGUGAGUAAUUUCCAGUUAUAAAUAGAUAUUACUCCCUUCUCAGCAAUUUUUUAUGGCUUAAUUUAGUGGGAUCAAAUCAAAAUCAACAUUGAAUAGUCAAAAUAUUAAUGACCAAACAGACCCAGAUAGAAUAAUAUUAAAUGUAGUUAUCUCAAACAAGAUAGAAUAAUAAUUGAUAAGGUAGGUGUAUGAGUGUGUGUGAUGUGUACUCUUUAUGCCAUUGUGUAUAUAUAUAUAUUUGUUUUUUUUUUCUAUUUCGCGUGGUUCCACCAUGCAUAAUUGAAGGGCUUCAAAUUCUUAAACGUUCGGUCACCGAAAUUGAAAUCCCAAUGGAACAAGUAAUUAAGCAUGUUAAUUCAACAAGAUUCACUCCCUUUAUUACUUAAAAGUUAUUUUCGCUUUUGAUAUUGAUACUUAUUUUUACAUUUGCAUGCACUAGGGCAGACGCGAAGCUAAAGGUGGGCUAACCCAGGCAGCAGCCUCGGUUAGCUUUUUGAAAAAAAAUAAUUAAUUAUAAUUUAUAAAUUUAUUUUAUUAAUAUAUAUAAAAAAUAAAAAUAAAUCUAAUAUUUGAUAAUAUUUUUCUUAUUUACAUUGUAUUUUUAUAAUUUUAUGGUUAGAUUUUUAUGUAUAUAGUGUGCUUAAUUUCGUUUAUAUAAAACAAAUUUUUUGAAAAGUAAAUUUCAUUUUUUAAAAAAAUCUAGCCCACCCAAAAAAAUACGCUAGCUUCGCCACUGCACUAGGGACAUAUUAAUCAGGUGGGUUAUAUUACAACCAGAGGAUUUAAAUUUGAUUUAAGAUAUGUGGGGUCUGCUUUUGGAUUUAGAAAAUUUGCCCAUUAAGAGUUGAAACCAAGUGACCUACCGUUAGAUUAGAUUAAUAGUGAUUUCUUGUAGUAAACAUUUGUGAAUUUGAAAUAUGUGAAUUCUAUCCUGGUGAUACAAAACAAGCUUCUUGUACACGAGAACUAUUUGUUUUUAUGAUUUGGAAACCAAUCUAUAAAGAUGAAUUAAGUUGGCAUAAUGGUACAAAGCAACUUUAAUUUUUCAAUAAAUUCAAAAGUUGGCAGGUUGGUUGUGAUUAUUAUCUUUUCUUUUUUACUAUUUAAACUACAAUUAAUUGAAUCCAAAGACUAAAGGGUUGGAUCGAGAAGAAACUAAUUUUAAGUAGACAUUCCGGCGAAAAUCACUCCCAUGAUCGAGACACUCAUGCAAUCAAUACAAAAAAUGGACACAAAAAUUGUCUACUUAAGUUUGGUUGAAUGAUUUUAAAAAUAGUUUUAUUUGUUUCACACUCGAAUUUGUAUUUUGAAAAAGAGUGGGAGUUAAAAAUUGAUUUACACUUUAUCAAUUACUCUAUUUUAAAAAGAAAUAAAUAUUAAAAAAAUAAAAACAUUAAUUUCUUGUUUGUUUGUACUUACCAUUGUAGGAUAAAUAAAGUGGUUGACAAAAAUUAGAUAUCUUAAAAAUAAAUUCUAAAUUUAUAACUAAUGUAUAAUGAUUUCAAUUCACAUGUUUCAAUCCCAAAUAAAUUCUCCUUUGGUUAUUUGAAUCUUAGCACGGUAAGAUUUCAUUCUCUUGUAUGCAUUUGUGUAAACUUCUCCCUUUACCUUUAUCAUUUUAUCAACUGUAUUGAUUGCCAAACAACUUUAGGGUUUAGGCAUGAAUCACACAAGGGAAUGAUAUUGUGGCAAUUUUUUCCCCCUUCUUUCUUCUUUUUGAAAAAAAAAAUUAAUUAUAGCUUUGCUUUGAUGGGUAGAAGACUAGAAGACCAAUUAAUUUCUUUUUGUUGCGUGGUGAUAAUAAUGGUGAAAAUUGCUAUGUGCGUGUUGGUGAUUGCAUUGCUAAUCACAUAUUGCUUCCCAUCAUGGAGACAAAGGGGACCCCUCUAUCAAAGCUAGCUGUUGAAAUAUCAUACCCAAAAUCACAUGAAUUCAAAGGUUGAAUGGGAAAACGAUCUUGCUUCUUUGUAUGUUUUAUUUUAUUUAAAGACUUAUUUUUCCCAUAAGAGAUAAGCUUGGAUCUAUCUUUCCUUUUAAUCAUUUUAGCCUCCAACUCCCAUCUUUUUCAAAAGUUUCGUUUAGCCCAUUUUGAAUGGCAAGGUAAGCUUCAAUCAACGCUACAAGUUCUAGUGAUUCCCGUCAAUAUUCGAUUGCAUGUAUGUAGCUUUGAAUGCUCAAAUUUAUUUUAUUUAUUAGUUGUUAUCACUUAUCAUUUUCUUUUUAAUAAUGAGAUUUGGGCAUUUUCUUUUUAAUAAUGAGAUUUGGGUCCCUAGAUGGUGAUUAGCCAACAGUCUAGUUAUGAGAAAUUAAUGUCUUAAUUACAAUGACAAAAAAAGGCAAGUGGGGAUCUCAUUUGCCAUUAGGUAACACAACAUCUUCAGCAUUGGAGCUUUUCUUCCUUUCUCUCCUUCUUUCUUUCUUUCUCAAAAUAAUUGAAAAUCUAAUGCAAUACAAUUAAAUUGAUCAACGAUCUAAUUUAAUCAAUACAUUAUAUUAAGAUAUUUAAAAUAAAAUCGGUUCAAAUGGAAUGAGAAAUUCUACUCACAAAAUAACAACAUUUAUUCCCGAAUUCAAAUAACCUUGGAUUCCAAAUGCAUUCAAGACUAGCCAGGCUGCAUAUCCAAGAAGAAAACAAAAUCAAAACUUUAGCCACAAACAUAUACGUGUGUGUGUAUGUGUGUGUGUAUAUAUGUGUGUGUGUGUCUGUGUAUAUAGAGAGAGAGAGAGUUCUUUCACUAGGUUCAUUUGCGUGAAACUUUUUGAUCAUUUAGGUUUAAGACUAUAUCAUAUAUCCUAUUGCAUGAACAUUGAUUAAUAUGAAUGAGUCAAACCCACUAAGCUUGUAACAAAAUCUUUUCAUAGUUACUAGAGAAUAUUUAUAUUUUUUUCAAACAUUAAUAAAAUUAUUGAAUUGCUUUAUUUAUAGUAUGUAUACAAUUAAUAGUGUAUGGAUUUUUUUAUCUAUUGGUAUAUUGAAAUAUGUGUUAUUUAGUUUGUUAGUGAUAUCAUCACUUUGUUAAAAUGAGAAUGUCCUUACUAGAGAAUCAUUAUAUAUACAUAUAUAAAGUGCUUGUGCUUCUAUCCAAGACCUAGAUUUUAUUAAAAUUUAAUAAAGCAAAUAUAUUUUAUAUGGUAUAAUAGUGUAAUAACAUCACACUAUUAUAUCAUAUAGAGUAAUAGUUUUUCGAUUUUUUUAAAGUUCAAGAUUAUAGAAUGAAUGAUUUAUAUAAAUUAUAAUUUUUUUAUCAUAAAUGGAGGCGAAAAUUAACAUAUUUUCAAAUUAUAAUAAGUAUUUAUCAAAUAAUUUAACAUUGUAAUUUCUCCUAACUAGUAUAGUAAAUAAUAUGACCUAGGAGGUACAUUCAAAGCAUUUCAUAAGUUAGUUGUUAAUAAUAAAUGAUAUAUGCAGCUCCAAUUAAUCAUCAUUGUACGGUGAGUAAUUUCCAGUUAUAAAUAGAUAUUACUCCCUUCCCAGCAAUUUUUGAUGGCUUAAUUUUGUGGGAUCAAAAUCAACAUUGAAUGUCAAAAUAUUAAUGGCCAAACAGACCAGCUGCCAACAACUUAUUCCAAUGUGAGUAGUUCACAGUGGGUACUGCACAUGAUGCUUGUUUCUCCUUUUGCAUCUAUUUUUGUUGUUAACAUUAAUUUCAAUAGCAGCUCUUUAAUCCCAAUUGUUGAUUUGGGACUAGAUAAGAAUUUAUCUUGGAACUCCAAUUCUCCCAAUUAUUUUAGUUGACAAUAUGUUUAACAUUAUUUUUUUAACAUUAUUAAUUACAUAUUAUUUAAUUAUCAGUAUAUAAUAUUCUUUAAUUUUCUAAUUUUAUAGGAUUAGACACAAAAUUGAUUAUGCCUUUUGAAAUUUAAGGGUUAUGUCAAUUGAAUAGAAAACUUGGAGUUAAACUUGUGGAUGUUUUUGUUGAUUAUCAAUUUAUGCAUGAAUUUUUGUACGUUUAUUUGGCUUAUUAUUAUUACUUUUAAACAUUUUUAUUGGUUUGAUUUAGGGUCAGUUUGGUAAUUCUAUAGCUUUUAAAAUAAUUACAGUUAGCUAUGCUGUAGAAAUUGAUCAAUCGUCAAGAGAAUCAGCUGAACAUUUAGUAAAAUUUAUUUUUAAAAGUACUUUUAGUUUUAAAAGCGUCGCAUGUGUUUCGUAAGUUAUAUACAUUGCUGAUUCUAUAUUAAUAAUGUUAUGUUCUAUUUUCAGAAAUUAUAAUACAAAAGUUUUUACAAUGGCGUGCAUCUACAAACUGAAUUGACUUGUAGAAUAAGAGCUUGGAGUAGUGUUAUGUUCUUGAAUAAAUGAAAGUUCAUAUGGUGUAAGAGCAUGUAGAUGUAAAGUGUCAUUACCAUUUCUAUAAAGGACUUUCAUUCUGUUCGGAUGCUCCUCUUGAACUCUGAAGGGUGCUUCAUUCAUAACACACAUAAUUUAUGCCAGGGAAGAGAAGAUGCCAAAAAAGUUGAAGGUGAUCAUUCAUAACUUUUCAGAAAGUUGUUGCAAAACAGAAAUCACCCAUCACGAUCGGUCGUACAAGUGUCUGCUACGAGUGCAGCAAAACGUUUGUCACGCUAGUUGUGCUAAAUGGACCUCUCCUGUGUGCCUCUAAAAUCAAUGCAUGUGAUCAUGUCGGUGAUUCAAUGGCUGGUGGGGAUGAGUCCACUCAAAUUCUGAAACUAAUCAGGUGAAAUAUAAACCCUUUUUGUCUCCUUCUUUAAUUGUAUGUUUUACUAUCCAUGUUUUACCCAAAAAAAUUGUAGGUUUACACUUUGCAAUCAAAUUUUGUAGUUGUGCUUUUUUCUUGCUUUUAUCCUAAUAAGCAAAAAAUCUAAUUAAUCCUAAUUAAAGGUGUUUUAAAAUUUAAAUAGAGAAAGUACCAUUGAGAUUUGAGAGAAAAUGAAUCGAUUGAUUUACUUCACAGUAUGAAUACACAGAGAGUUCGCUUGCUUUAUAUGCAGUAAUCUAACCAACUUGUUAACUAAGCUACUAUUCCCAGCAAAUCAAGCUAACCAAUCCCACUACUCAGCUUGUCUACUACAGAUCACAGAACCACUUGGGCUGAGCCGUAAUUCCAUGUCAUCAGUCUGUGCAACAACCUCAUUGAUCACUUGUUGUGCUGACUAUCGAACAACAGUGUGCCUCUUUAACAUAAUAGACUAAGCUCGUAUGCAUAGGAAUGGAUCUUUUAUUAUUGUCAUUAACUAUCUGUCCCUAAGGGUUUGGUUGAGUGAUUUAUUCCUUUAGUUGGCCCUCCCAAUCUUUUGGAUUGUUAUUGUCAUUAAAUAUCGGUCCCUAACUGCGUGAUGUAAGUACUUUCUAGAAGAUAUCUAAAUGGUAAAGCGACAUUACCAUUUCUAUAAAGGACUUUCAUUCUGUUCAGAUGCUCCUCUUGAACUCUGUAAUUCAGAUCCUAGCUAUAACUACUAGCUUUGAUUAAUUAAUUUCCUGUACUAGCUGAAACAGAUUUAUUUAUUUAAAUAAUUGUGUAUGUACUAAUUAUAAUGAAAGUAUAUGAAGAAAUUUUUUAACAUGAAUGACUUCUAAAUGACUUAAAAACCUAAACAAAUAAUGCUCAUUUCACUUGAACGAGCCUAUUAAUACUUGUAUGUCUAUGAUUUUUAAUAUUGGCUUAAGCGUUUCAGUUAAAUGGUUUACAUAAGAGGGAAAAAAAUUUAAUGGAAAACUUUAGAGUUCUAACAGAAAUAUAAUUGACUAUGCAGAUAUAGUUAUUUUAUGGUAUACAAAUCAUGUUGCCUUAAUCUCAAUGUCCUAUGACCUAUUUUAUUUUAUAUAGUCAUUCCUUUUGGCCAUGGCUUUUUGUUUUUAUGAGUACGGAAAUAGUGGGAUUUGGUGUAUCUUAGCAUCUUUGGAAAAUUCUCUUUAAAUGUGGCAAACAAAAAUAUACAUAUAAUCAAGUUUCUUAAUCAACUAUCAUAACUGGCUAGCUAGUUCUUGCCUGCCUUGCUGCCAUUACCCAGGCCAUUACAUUGCAUAGCAUAAGGAAUAGUGAUUAGGUGAUUAUUAGUGACUCGUUGAGCUUAUUAUUGACCAAACAAAUAUAUUUGCCUUUACCCACAACUUAGUUUGAUUAGUUAUUAGACCAUAAAGAGCGUAAAUCUGUUCAUUGGCUUUGUUAUUUUUGUUUGGUUUUUCUUUCAACAAUACUGUUAAUUUCUUAUAAAAAUAUUCAUUGGUUUUUAAACACCUAAUCAUUGGCUAUAAUGAAGCUAAUUGAAACUGAGGCUUUGGAUCAAUUCCUUCUGGCAAGAUACAAAUGAGCAUAACCUAUAUCCUCUAAGUAAAUUUUUCUAAUAUGCUUGAUUUGUUAGUAUCCGGAGGCUUGAAUCCUCUAGAUUUUUUUAACACUGUCAAUGUUCUUUUUACUCUGAAAAGGGAAAAAAAAGGUUAUAUCUUUCAUACCCUAAUAAUAAGUUGUCCUUGACUUAACAUGCCUUCCUGAGGAUUUGCAAGAUUCACAAGCAGCUCAACAACACCCCCCCCCAAAAAAAAGCAAAUACGAAGAUUUUGCAAGAUUCACAACCAGGUUAUAUUUAAUUUAUUAAUUGUGUGCACGUACUAGUUAUAUGUUGAAAGAAUAGGAAAAAGUAUUUUAACAUGAAUGACUUAAAACUUAUUGCUCAGUAAACUUAAUCUGCAUCAGUGCUAGAUAAUGUAUUUAUUGUUUGUAUUUUUUAUGGAUUUGCUUAAGAAAUGAUAUGCGAAAUAAUGCUAUAUUGUAUUAGGAAUAAAUUGAAGAGAUUUAUGAUAUUUAUGUGUUUUUAAAUUUCAGAUUGAAUUUUAAACUUUCAAUACAUGCAUUGAAAGCUUAGAUCGUUUAAGAAAUUAUUAAUAGACACAUGUUUUAUUAGUGUCAUCUUUGGAUGAUAGCGAGGAUCAUAUGUCUAUUAAUAAUUCUUGAAUUGUCUAGGCUUGAACUGUUUGGGAAUGCAUAGUUUUCUACGGUGGCUAGUAGCUGAAGUUUUUUUCCCACGUAAAAAUGGGUUUUUCGCUAGCUACUUCUCAUCUUCUUUGGGUGCAUACUAGAUAACACAUACACACUCAUAUAUCUAUGUCGUGUGCUAGGAGAACUAUUGGGAGAUGCUGCCGAAAUUCCUAUAAACGUAGAAGAAAACUUUAAAGUACUUGAGAUUGAAGAGACUUAUGCAUUCUUGAGAGGGAUAUAUGGGACCACUUACCUUUUGUAAAUAUGAAGGGAGUGUUGGACAUAUUGAUGGGAGUGAAGGAGCUGAGUUGGAUGGAUGUAAUUGGUUAUGGUUUUGCUGAGUUAACUUGGUUUUGACCUAGUAGUUUUGUUUAUAAAUGGAGUACUAUCUCCAAUGUUGGUUUAUAAAUAUGUUUCAGCUGGCUGACCUAAUUUUUUGUUUCUAGGUAACAGGCUUUAUAUCUGUAAUUGAUAGCCAACCGAAGUUCUCAGCUGUGGGUGAGGAUAUUUCUUUACAGAAGGUAUUG
rnacentral:lncRNA from 1 species